rnacentral:lncRNA from 1 species
UUGACGCAUAAUCUCCUUCGUCUCCUCUGGAUUGGUACAGUAUGGUGCACGGUUGGGUAGCGAAGCACCGGGAAUUAAGUCAAUUUGAUGCUCAAUCCCUCGAAUAGGUGGUAAUCCCGGUGGCACGUCUUGUGGAAAGACGUCAACGAACUCCUGCAAAAUGUUAGUGACAGCAGGGGGCAAAGAGGAAGGCACGUCCUCGAAUGAAAAUAAUGCCUCUUUGCACACAAAAGCAUAGCAAACAGAUUUGCUAAAAUCUAGCUCAUCAAUAUCAGAUUUGGUGGCAAGUAAACAUGCACUUUUCAAUUUAAUUUCAGAAACAACAGUAGAUGGUUUAUUACUAGGCUUCAUUUGGUGCUCAAAUUCUUUUGCCACAAUCUGAUUUUCACCCUUAUUUAUCUCCUGUUUUGCUUUGUUAGCUCUAUUAAUAUCAUCUUUCAAAAUGGAAUCAGGAGUCAUAGGAAGCAAAGUAAUAUUUUUAUCGUUAUGAACAAGAGUACACUGAUUGUUUCUACCAUGGUGUACAUAAUUCUUAUCAAAUUUCCAUGGUCUACCAAGUAAUAAGGAACAUGCUUGCAUAGGUACCACAUCACAAUCAACAUAAUCAGCAUAUGUAGAGAUACUAAAAUGCACACGAACAGUACGUGUUACCGUAAUCUUGCCGCUGUUGUUGAACCAUUGGAUGUAGUAAGGAUGUGGAUGUGGUCUUGUGGUGAGAGAUAGCUUCUCCACCAUCUCCAUGCUAGCCAAGUUAUUGCAGCUCCCUCCAUCUAUGAUCACGCGAACAGAACGUUCCUUCACAACUCCCUUUGUAUGGAAUAAAUUAUGCCUCUGAUUUUGCUCAGCUUGUGUAACCUGCACACUCAAAACACGUUGAGCAACUAAACAUUCAUACCUGUCAGCAUCUUCAGGAGCCAUGUAUUGUGUCUCAUGAUCAGAAUCGUCUCCACCGUGUUCGUCACGUGUAAUAAGAGCCAAAGUCUCCUCAUCAUAGUCACUAGCGGACUCAUACCCACCAUCCUCAGUAACAAUCAUCACACGCUUAGAUGGGCAUUCUCUUGCAUAAUGACCUCCACCCUUGCAACCUCGACAAAUAAUAUCAUGUGUUUGCCCUGUUGAUGCCAUGGAUGAAGAAGAGCUCUUUGCAGGCCCAGAAGGUGUGCUCUUGGCAGAUAGUGGUGAUUGUGCCUGCUUUAUUGUAUCACGAUUGGAGGUGGCAGCCGACGGAGGCGCCGGUGUAGCAGAACGUGUGGAAGUAGAUGAUGCACAUGGUGUCCAUGAUGAAGGUCGACCUGCAGAAAAGUUAGUCCGCGCCAAUGCCUGUCGAUCCAGCACUUCACGUUCAGCUUUACAAGCAAGAUGGAAUAAACGAGUGAUAUUAGUAUACUCCUUAUACUCUAGAAUCGUCUGAAUCUCUCUAUUUAAUCCACCCAUAAAACGUGCAAGCAUAGCUUCAUUCUCCUCAACAAUACCACAUCUAAUCAUGCCAGUUUGUAAUUCCUGAUAAUAUUCUUCUACAGAAUUUUUUCCCUGUCUUAAGCGCUACAAUUUUUGAAGUAAUCACGUUGAUAAUAUGGUGGAACCCAACGAGUACGCAUAGCAGUUUUCAAAGCAGCCCAAGUAGCCAGAAUAGGAUAUAAUCUACAAUGCUCAGACCACCAAACACAUGCAAAACUAGUGAAAGCACAAAUAGCAGCAGGAACACGUCUCUCCUCGGGAUAUUGUAAACAUGUAAAUCGUUGUUCAGUUUCUAACUCCCAAGUAAGAUAUAUAUCAGGAACAUAUCUACCCUCAAAUGGUGGAAUAUUCAAUUUUAGUUUAGGGAGAUGGUCAUGAUCUCGUACCUGAGGGUGAGCCCUACCAUUGCCAUUAUUUGCAUGUGGACGACCUGGUGGUUGCUGUGCUGUUGGUGGCACGUAGUUCUGAUUUUGAUCAACCUCAUCCUCAUAAUCUCCCACAUAAUCAUCCUCCUCCACAUCAGCAGUAGGAGCCACAGAAGUAUCAACAGCAGCACCAGCAGUUUGGCCCGACUGAAGAGGGACACGGCUCGCUCGACGGAGGGCUGUUUCCCGAUGUGGAGGUAGUCGGUGUUAUUGCUGUUGUUGCAGAGGUGCGUCAGGAGCAGCCGGUGGUGGUGGUGGAAAACGCAAAAGCAAUUCAGCAAACUUGUUAUCGAGCUUUGUUUCAAACGUCUUCUCCAUGCCAUCUAUCUUCUCCAUGGCCUCUUCAAAUCUGUUUAUCACAUCUUGCACCUGUCCACUCAUCAUUUGCUGAAACGUAUCAUGAAGCUCCUUGUUCGUCAAGUUCUCCCAGUCAGUCUCGUCGGCUUGUGAUCCUGGCAUGGUUAGCAGCAAUAGAAACACACAAGAAUAUGAUCCUACAGACUACUAACAAGUGGUGGUGGUGGCGGGUGUCACAAAUCCGUCAAGCAAAUCUCAAAUUCUUACCAGUUCUUACCCAGCAGCAGGCGGUGAUCGGCAACCGUUGUAGUCAAAACUCUCAAAAGCUUGGAUAGAGCGAUUGCCAGGGAGAGUCAAACGCACGACGUAGAUGUAUGUGGAGCUGGGAAGGCUUAUAGUAUGGUAGCAAAAAGGGUCAGCAAUAAUCAAUUCAGAGAUGCAAAGUUGAAUAAACGCUCAACGACGGUACUGUGCUGGUCCCAGGCUAGACCGUGCUAGAGACGCGAGCCUAGAACACUAACAAAAUCAUGACACUGCACGUAAAUAAGGGAAAAGCACACUCUGGAACUCUCUUUUUUUUCGCUCUUUUUUUCGCGCUCCUUUUUUUUGCGCUCCUCUUUUUUUUGUGAAAAAUCACUAUAAUGGCGAGUGUCUCAAAACUCUUCCCUCGUCAAACUGAUAGGAUGGGCACGAAAUUUUUUUUUCACUUUUUUUUCGGAAAUCAGGGCAGCGACGACGAAAAAGUGCGACAAAAAAUCACUAUGAUGGCACGUGGCUCAAAAGACUCAGAAAAGCCUAAAAAUAGGCUAGGGAAAAAAUUUUGCCCAUGAAAAUUUUGGCCUAAAAACUGCCCGGGGGUCUCCAGACUUUUUUUUUCCGAGACCUACACAGGCAAGGAAACACGAAUCGGAAUUUAGAUUGAUCUCAAGAACAAACCUAAUAUGAGAAGAACUCGGAUUGGUGGUGGAUAUAUGGUUGUGGUAUAUGGCAGCGGUGGUGGUAUAUGGUAGCGGUGGUGGUAUAUGGAUAGAGAUUGGUGGUGGUAUAUGGAUAUGGAUUCAGAGUGGUGGCGGAUAAGCAAAAGUGGUAGAUGGGCGAUGAUGAUGGUGCGGCGGCAGCGUGACAACUUAUGACCACAACUCGAAACUCUAAAAGACUAGACUCUAAGACCAACAACUUGACACGAUGAUGCAACCGCAAAUUCAACAAAGCAAAAACCCUAAAAAUAUUAUGCAAAGGCUCAGAUUGGUUCGGAUAUGAUGAACUAACCCUAAUUUUUUGUGUGGCUUUUUCGUGGACUGUAGGUAUGAAGAACAGACUCGAUCUAAUCUACGAAAAACUGUAAAAUCUCACUGAGCAACCUGGAAAUCUGAUACCACUUGAUAGAGGCUAAGGUGUCCCGAUGUUUCGAUGAGAUGGUGGCUAUCGUUUUCUGUGGGAUUCGACCUUGACGAUCUGACUACGAACGUGCGAGAUGUCGCGCCUUAGCAAUCGCUAAACCAACUUCCGAGGGUUAUUAACCACGCUGGAGCAUGAUCAACCUGACCACGAGGGUCUGUUUCCUGCGAACAAACGAAGAACAAGCAAGAAACUGAGAUUGCAAUCGGGAUAUUGCGAAUAUAAGAUGAAAGCUUUAUUGAUCAAGGUGGGGUUCUGUGACGUCUUGGUCUGGUCGUUGGACGCAAACGAAGUACGCGAAGUUGCAGCUAUGUCGAACUUUUAAUCUAAACAAAACCCAAAGUCUGAACGAUGCCCUAAGGGCUGUAUAUAUGGAGGAAGAGGGGGGGAAUUUCGUGGCCUUGAGGGUGGGGUCCGAAACCAACCCUACCUCUUGUUUCCCCACACAUACAGACUCUAAAAAUAGCCUAUACUUAAGUAUUUCGAAAUUACAUGGGCCUGGUCCAUUAAUAAGGUGACGCAACACCUAGAAUAGCCUAUGGACGAAUAUUAUGAAGUGGCAUCUUGUAUAUUUCGUCCAAGGCUUCAUGCACUCCUUAUGGCGGCUUCAAAGUCCUGAAAUCAUCACUUGUAACUCCGUUCUUGAUCCCCUUGCGCAUGCCAUCAACUCCAUGCGUGUUCUUGCUCCAAUGUUCAUCCUUCUCCAAGCUAGUCCCUUCAUUUGUAAGCAAAACAAAUGUAUCCAAUUUAGGCAGCAUCAUAAUCUCAUGAACAUUAGAAUCAUUACCAAGAAACGAAAGUACCUGGUAAUUUAAUUGGCGUGCGCGAGCUCUAGUAAUUGGUCCAGUAUAUGUAACAGUAGGGGCUGUGGGUGUAACAAUGGUAUUGAUGUCCUCAUCAUAACCCAAGUUGCCAAGGGACGGCCCCGCACGGUGCUCUAGUUUGGACCAACACUCGGAGGAGCACUGGCCUGGCGGUUUAAAAUAAAGAUGACCCUUGAGUCUGCAGAACCCAAGGGAAAAAGGCUUAGGUGGCAAAUGGUAAAACCAAGGUUGGGCCUUGCUGGAGGAGUUUUAUUCAAGGCGAACUGUCAAGGGGUUCCCAUAACACCCAACCGCGUAAGAAACGCAAAAUCAAGGAACAUAACACCGGUAUGACGGAGACUAGGGCGGCAAGAGUGGAACAAAACACCAGGCAUACGGCCGAGCCUUCCACCCUUUACCAAGUAUAUAGAUGCAUUAAAGUAAACAAGAUAUAAUCAUGAUAUCCCAACAAUAACAUGUUCCAACAAGGAACAAACUCCAUCUUCACCUGCAACUAGCAACACUAUAAGAGGGGCUGAGCAAAGCGGUAACAUAUCCAAACAACGGUUUGCUAGGAAAGGUGGGUUAGAGGCUUGACAUGGCACUAUGGGAGGCAUGAUAUAGCAAGUGGUAGGUAUCGCGGCAUAGCAAUAGAGCAAACAACUAGCAAGCAAAGAUAGAAGUGAUUUCGAGGGUAUGGUCAUCUUGCCUGAGAUCCCGCAAGGAAGAAGAAUGAGUCCAUGAAGAAGACAAACGGACGAGGUCGAACGGAUCCUCACAACUCCGGAACGAAACCGAAGCUAAUGAGAGAAACAACCCGGAAAGAAGCAGGCAACAUGGUAAACAACCAUCACAUAAACAUGGCAUGAUGCACAACCAAGUAUAAUGCAUGUACGGUUUAAUGAAGCAUGGCAUGGCAAAGUGCACAAACAAAACUACAAGUUAAGUGGAGCUCAAUAUGCAACAAGUUGCAUAUUGACGAAACACCACAACAAUUAUUUAGUUCUCUCCCGUUUAAGUACUCAACAAUAUUAAAUGUUGAUUAGCAUGGCAAGGGGUGAAGCAUAUGAAAACUACCUAUCUAGGCAAGUUUAAAUGAGGCCGGAAACAACGAACAACAAUUCCGGCAAAUCCCCAUAUGCAAAUAUUAGGUUUGGUACUGUUCUGUCCUAAAGCAUAUUUUAGAGUUGUUAAACAUGCAAAGUAAAGCCACCAUGAUAAUCUAUGCAUUUUUCUACCCCAUUUACAUAUAAAGAUUAUUAAGUUUGGAGCUACGGUUAUUUAGUUAUGAAUUAAAGCAUUUUAGCAUGGCGUAGGAGCAAAUUUAACCAAACAUCAUUUUAAAUAUUUCAAACAUAGAUGAAAGUUACAAAUUAUUAAUAUACACAAAAUUUUAAGCAAGUUUCAUAUAUGAUUUGUUUUAAUAUGAUGCACCAUUUGUGAGUUAUUAAAUGUAUAAACAACAUGGGUUUUUCUGUAAAACUGGUGGUCUUUGGAUAAAGCUAAAAUCGCAGAGGAAAAAAACAGAUCUGGGCCAAAACUGGCUGGCCCAUUAGUGCAAGGCGGGGUGCUGGAUCUGGGCUUACCAUGGGCUUGGCCCGUUCGAAAAAAUAGAGGAGGCCUGGCGCUGGGCCUUGGGGAGGUGCUAGUCUCACGCGAGCAGAAACAGGGGGGCGGGCGCCUGACAAACGUGCUUCUGCUCGUUGCAGAGGAAGCGUAGGCGGGCGACCGGGAUGCGGGCAGGCGAUGGCGGAGCUUGGCACGACGACAUCAACUAGAUUGAGGUGGAGGGAGUCAGUCCCGGAACGAAGUAGGCGACGCAAAGCGCUGGAGAGACGCUGUCCAUGGCGGAGGAGUUCCAUGGGCGGCGGCGAUGUUCAGUUUCUGCAGGGAGGCGAGGACGAAGCUGAUGUGCUCCACGGCCACGGCGGACGCGGGACUUGAGGAGCUCGACGCGGGAGGCAAAACAGGGGACGGAUCGGAGGCGCGGGGCAGAGGAGGUGCGGGCGAGUUCCCCAUGGAGGUCCGACGGCACGGGACGGGUCAUGGACUGGUGCUCCUGCAGGGGAACACGAGGAAGAUAGGGAGAUUAAGGCAGAGAGAAGAAGAAUGGGAGGAAGGAGAGGGGCAACGAGCAGUUCCUGCUGGGGCUCCGGCGAGGCUACGCUCGAGGUCGUCGACGCUGCACGAAGAUGGGGGAGCUCAGGUUCCUCCUGAUCUGGACCUCAAGCGAGGCUGCGGGCGCUAAGGCUGAUGACGACCAGCGUGAGCGAAACAGGGGGUACAGGGGCCCGAUGGCACACUUCGGCGGGUGAUGGCGCGAGACUUGGGGUGGAUUCACCGGGGAUUGGCCGGAAUGGAGCAGAUCAGACGGGGUAGUCACGGAUCCAACGAAGAGCGGCGACACUUUGAGCUCCUAAUGGCCGGGAGGCAGUGCACAGACGCGAGUAAGAGCUUGGUGGUGCGGGAGGAUUUGGAUCGAGGCUGCCGAUUGGGGUGGUGCUGAAAACAAGGGAGAGUGGCGGCGGCCGAAAGAGAAUGAUGGGACAAGCCUCCUCGAAUUUAGGGUUGGUCAUAAUAUAUCUCAGGAAGAUUAUGUUAGGGGCUAUCUCGUCUCUCCGAUCAAAAUCGGACGGUCAGGAAAAAUAAACUAGGGAGUCCAAAUAAGAAAAUGGUGAUGUUUUAUAGAUGUUAGGGGAUGAUCCGAACCCAACGGUGACGACUGCCCGGGUCAGGUUCGGGUAAGUUUCGGACACAUGCGAGGGGUCGAUGCACUAUGCAAAGAGGGGUAGGCUUGGCCUAGGCUGUGUAGUAGAGGUCUUAGGCUGAGAAGAGAGACAAAAAUGCAGCCCGGCAAGGUUUUUGGAGACCGAAAACGUCCGACGUUUGACCGGCUAUAUUGCCGCUAUAGUUUAACGGUUGGGCUAUCAAACAGACUCUGAAUGCGAUGAAACUUGGCAGGCGGUCUACUGACAACAUAACAACACCGCACGCCAACUUUCAACCCAAACCGAGAACAUUUUCUGGCCACUUAUAAAAUAAUAUUUCGGACAUGCCGUGGGCGUGUGCGAGUGUGUCUGGGCUCAGAACGGACAACGGAAGGAACGGGGAGAACGAAACGGAUGCAAGUUUUUAGAACAUGGUGAUGCAAUGCACAUGAUGACAUGAUAAAAUGCAACACGCAAGCAAAUGACAUGGCAACGACGGCGAAUAACUGGAAGACACCUGGCGCAUCGGUCUCGAGGCGUCACAUAAGUGUUCCAGCCAGAGUCCCUACGGAGUGGAGUUCAUCACCGUCGUCGCUGUUCCGCUGCUAGAGUUAUUCCGCUGCAUCGUGUUGUUCUGCUGCUUGCAUGGAGCAACUGUGGCAGGCGUAGUGUUGCCGUGCCAAUGUAAUCCCCUUGUAUCCAUAUAGCUUGUAAUAAAGAGCUGAUUUGUUCUAUGCUAAGCAGUGUCGUGUUCCAGAAGACUUCUCCUUGAUCUCUAGGCUGGAAUAAGGGGCGUUCCGGUUUCCCUGAGCUGGGGUGCCACAAUAACCACAUCCUACCCAUAAGCUUAAAUAGUCUUGAUCUCACGGGUUUUGAGAUUGCUGAGUCCUCGUGACUCACAGAUACUUCCAAAAUAGUUGCAGGUGCCGAUGAUACCAGUGCAUGUGAUGCCACCGAACUCAAAUGGGAGUUCGACGAGGACCUUGGCCGUUACUACGUGUCUUUUUCAGAUGAUCAGUAGUGGUGCCUAGUUGGGACGAUCGGGAUUUAGCAUUUGGGGUUGUCUUCUUUUCAUUUGGGUUCGUCAGUAGUCGGACUUUGUGUGCACUCUGAAUGAUGUAUGAAUUAUUUGAUCAUUGUGAUAGAUGCAAAGGUGUCCCGUCUUUCGAUGAGAUGGCAACGAUCGUUUUGGAGGAAGCCGACUUUGACGAUCUGACUACGAACAUGCGAGGACGUCGCUCCUUAGCAAUCGCUAAACCAACUCUGAGAGGUUAUUGACCAUGCUGGAGCACGAUCAACCUGACCAUGAAGGUCUGUUUCCUGCACGCAAACGAAGAACAAGCAAGAAACUAAGAUUGCAAUCUGGAUACACUACAAAAAAAUACACUUCCGUGAUGAUACAUGUUUGUCACAGUAGGGCACGUUUUCUGUCAUGCAUGUACACCCAUGACAAAUUUAUGACAGAAUCAAGAUAGUCAUACCUGUGCUGUCGUAGAAGUGUUCCAUGACAUUACCAAAAUUAUCAUCACGGAAGUGUCCACUUCCAUGACGAUAAAUCACGCGUCACAGAAGUGCUUUCGUCAAGGGUGACCAACACGUGGCAUCCACCGUAACGGAACGCCGUUAAGCUAUCGGGUCCAGUUUUGGAUCCAAUAACCCGUUAAUAGCCCCGACCAAUGGGGAUUUUCCACGUGUAAAAUCAUCAUUGGCUGGAGGGAACACCUGUCGGCUCGCCGUUGGGACAGAUGUCAUCCACUCAUUGGACCCAAAGCGCCUAUGAUACGUCGACACGUGGCACGGCCCAACAGAGGCCCAUUCCUGUGAAAAGGCCGACCCGUUUGACUAGGUCAAAAGGUGGCGGGCGGGCCCACGGCAAGCCUGUUAACGGCCUGUUCGCAUAUAGCCCAUUUAUAGCCCGCUAACCCAGGGCCCGUUUACGGCCUAUCCGAAUUAGGCUCAGUAGCGUCAUCUGGGCCAUCCAAUAUAAUUCUAGCCCGUUUUAACUUCCGGCCCAUGUAUGGCCCGUGAUGUCUUUCGGCCCAUAUGAGGCCCUUAGUAACCCUCGGCCCAUUAACGACCCGUGGUAAAACUGGCCCAUAAUGAACAGUGUAUCACUUUAUACCCAUUAACGGCCCAUUAUACCGUUGGGCUGUUUCCAGACCAUGUUAUCUUUCGGCCUUCUCAGGGCCCAUUUAUUCUUGGGCUCAUUUCCAGCAUUCGUUUACUUACGACCCGUUACAGGCCUUUUCUGCUUGUGGGCCAAAUUCAGCCCAUGGAUACUAUCGGUCCGUUUGUGGCCUGUUAAUCAGUUGGGCCAUUUUCAUAGCAUCAUCAAAUGCGACCGAUUAACGGCCCGUUAUGGUCAGCCCAUAAAACGUACGAUUUCCACUCUAGCCCGUUUACUGCCCGUUGACUGAUAUAGCAUAUUCAAAGAAUUAUCCUACGGGUCGUCUCAUCAAUGGGCCUUCUACGGGUCGUCUCAUCUUUGAACGAUAUAGCAUAUUCAAAGAAUUAUCCUACUCUAUACUAUCACCUCUAAAAACAUACACUAUACAAUAAAGAGACUAAGGCAUAGAAACGUAGAAUAAUCCUACACUAUACAGUAAAGAAAUUACAGCCGAUUAUACCCACUGGGCAUUAUGGUUCGGCACCAGUGAUAAUAAAGCAUACACAAACAUCAAAUUACAUACACUGGGCAAAUACAGCUCAUACAUCAUGGACAUGCAUCAACAUAACUUACCAUUUGAACUAUAAUCUCUUCAGAAAAUAGGAUUGGCCGGAUUUAGAUAGCACAAAUUUCAGUCUGCAAAAUCUCCAAUUCCUUCGUUGUUACCUCAGUGUCUUGUUUCAUUUUUUUGACUCCUCCAUCUAAUACUUGCAUGUCUAGUCUCAAAUUGUUGAUUGUACGUUCAGAAUCAUGUACACGUUGUCUUGCCACAUCUAGUUGAUGCUCGAGAACAUUAUCACAUUCCAAUUCCAAUCCAUAAUCAUUCGGUAACGGCCAUGCCGCACUGCUCGCAGAUCUUUGUGUUGAUGUCACUUCAUCCUGAAAUGUUUCUGUAAGUACACAUGACUAGGGCAAAAAUAUAGUUACAACAGUGAAGCGAGCAAGACAGACUAUUUUGUACAUGGAAAAACAGUACUAACAAUAAUGUUACACGUCAUGAAGCAUAAGGAGGUGAUAUUUUAAAAAUUAUAAAAAGGUAGUCUAUGCAGCCUGCAUACAGAAAUCUCUCUUAGCUCACCAGAGGAGCAUGAUGUUGGGGCCCAAUCCAAAACACAGACAAGUUACAAAUUUAGACAGCACAUUGCGUAGAAGUAAGCAAGCAGUUGGCCAUUCUGUAGCUCAAUUAAAGUCUUAGGGAGCAUAAUGAAUAGUAGAGGAUUUCAUACAAACAUACUACAACAAUCAAAACUAUUCAAUCAUUAGCCUAGUAUAAACUAGAUUGUGAGCCUCAUUCAAUAAUAGUUGGUUAAUAGACUUCAAAGCUUUAGGCACUCUUCGGCAGAGUAAUUAAAUGGUAAGGCCUUUAAUUAUGUCAACUAAUAGUUAUACAAGUACCCAACAUCAGGCAUCAUUCUUUGGGCAUCUCAUUAACUGAGGACAAAUAAAGCAAUUGAAAAGAGCAAAUUAACUAUGCCUGAAACAAACAAGGAAUUGAACUGUUGAGUUGGAUACAGUGACUUACCUUAAUAGGUUGAAGAGGCUCACCGCAGCUCCUACUUCUCUUGCAAGGCUCCUUCCUAACAUCUUGUACUUGGAAAUCCUCAAUCUUAUCUUCAUUGCACCCCCUGUGCAAGGUGACACAAACUAGUUACUCGUCUCCUUGGAAGAUAAAUAUGCAUACUUUCCAGUCUGUGAACACAAAAGGAUGAGAUUAUAACAACAACACCACAUAAUGAAACAUGCCGCAUCUCUUGCACUUGCACACAAUGAAAUGAGCAUUUACUAUGUCUGCACUAGUAAAAACUAGGCAUACCUUCGAACUGGAUCUCCAGGUACUCUUGGAGAGCCUACUUUAGUGUACAGCCAAACCUUUAUGUCACCCAUGAGUUAGAAAAGGCCCCACUACAGCAGCCCUUAGUGUUUAAAUCGUUGACAAGCUCUGUUAGAGUGUUAGGUCAAGAACAACAAGUAAUCAAAGCAAACAAUCCUAGUAUGGCUGGCUGAUGCAAACAAGCAAUUGAAUAGAUGUGUGAGCAAAUAUUACAUAUAAAGAAAAGAAGCAAAGAAGGAGGCUUAAAGGCCAUCACUUGACUGACCAGAUUUAAGGGGCAUUUAAACAUCAUGUGCAACGUAUGAACUAACAUAAACAUUGCAUAUUCCAGAUUCUACAAUGGAAUGCACAUGUAUUAGGUUAUGCCAUGUAUGAUGAUGCCUAAAUGUACACUAUAGCAGACAUGAGUGAUUCAUCAUUGCACGCACAAUUGAAUUGCAGGUUAAGGGCCAGUUCUAUUCCGCCUUUUCAGGGCUUAUUGUCAAAAUAAGCCAUAAAAGAUGUAAAGAAGUCAUUUUUGAGUUAUGGGCUUGGGCUUAUCUAAUUUCUCUUUGGAGGGGGGUAUUUCAGGUAGAACCUCACUAAAAAUUGAAGGGAAGGGGAAUAGUGAAAUGACUUUGUUGUCUGCCUAUAUUACACUCAAAAUGCAACUGGUGAUGUCCGCGUCACACCUCACCCUCAAGUAAAAACAAACACGCAAGCAUUCAUUGCCCCGCCCGCUUGCAUCUCCUCUCCCCUUUCCCUCUACCUCGAUCCCCUGCCUGCAGCACUAUGGUUCCUCCAGCAAGACGUCACCACUAGUCCCAUCUGGACUGGUCCUCGACGAUGCUCUGUCCAGCUAGGCUACAUGGCCGGAGGGUAGGGGAAAAUCUCCCUGGCUGCUCCUCCCUCUAGUGCCGCCCCUCAUUCUCAUGGUGUCCAGCAGCUGCUCCACUGUGGUUCGUCCAAUGCACUACUCUGGCAGGCGCUGCACAACUACGGCUGAUGCCAAACUGCGGCAGAAGGCACCUUAUUCCCCCCCACCUCCCAGGCCGUGGCCUUAAGGUGCUGUUGAAGGAUGAGCUCAUCCAACAAGGUGAGGAUCUCCUCUAAUUUUUUGCCCAAUUUUCAUUCUGAUCCACUAUACGAUGAAUUGCUAUGAGCUGCUUCUGCUGCUGCUAUAUGAUGCAUUGCUAUGAGCUACUCUUGCUGCUGCUAUAUGAUGAAUUGCUAUGAGCUGCUGCUGCUAUAUGAUGAAUGGCUAUGAGCUGCUGCUGCUAUAUGAUGAAUUUCUAUGAGCUGCUGCUGAUGCUAUAUGAUGAAUUGCUAUAAGCUGCUCCUACUGCUGCUGUAUGAUGAAUUGCUAUGAGNNNNNNNNNNNNNNNNNNNNNNNNNNNNNNNNNNNNNNNNNNNNNNNNNNNNNNNNNNNNNNNNNNNNNNNNNNNNNNNNNNNNNNNNNNNNNNNNNNNNNNNNNNNNNNNNNNNNNNNNNNNNNNNNNNNNNNNNNNNNNNNNNNNNNNNNNNNNNNNNNNNNNNNNNNNNNNNNNNNNNNNNNNNNNNNNNNNNNNNNNNNNNNNNNNNNNNNNNNNNNNNNNNNNNNNNNNNNNNNNNNNNNNNNNNNNNNNNNNNNNNNNNNNNNNNNNNNNNNNNNNNNNNNNAGCUGCUCCUACUGCUGCUAUGUGAUGAAUUGCUACUGCUGCUAUAUGAUGAAUUGCUAUGAGCUGCUGCUGCUAUAUGAUGAAUUGCACACUACUGCUGCUGCUGUAUGAUGAGUUGCUAUGAGCUGCUGCUGCUGCUAUAUGAUGCUUUUAGAUGGUGCUGCUAUAUGAUAAUAACCAGCCACUUGGACCAUCGAAUUUCAAUAAAUAAUUGUCUUCAUUUAAAUGCGGGUCAUGCGUUUUUCGUUUAAAUUAGGCAAUGGGAUCUCUAUGGAAAACAUUGACCAAAGUAGAUUGUGCCAAGUAGAUGGUAUCUUUGUAUUUGCAUUUUGAGCAAAUAGUGAUGGUCUGUUUUCCUAUCAUAUUAAUUACUGCACUGUGUUCAAUUUGUGAUGUUUGCAAGUCAAACUAAUUUUCAUAUGGGCAGCAAAAUGAAAAAAUAUAAUGCAAUCUAGACUUUUCACUUAUCAUACCAAAGACAAGAUGAAAACACAAUGAAAAGAACUGGUUGGCUUAUUACAUGGAGCUUAUAUUCACAUGUUCUUAUUUUCUUAGGAUAACUCGUAAUAACUGUCCCUAAGAAACUUGGCCAAUAGAACUGACAUACAAAUAACAUGUCACGAUGAUUGCAAUGGAGGAGUGACGUACCAUAGCACACUGUAUAGGCUCACCGCUGGCUCUCCUUUUUUUUGCGAUGUUCCAUGAAAUUGCCACAUACAUCUUGUACCUUUUCAUUGUAUAACCCAAUCUGCAAGUUGGCACGGCUAAUUUUGGACAUCUCUACAUGAUAAUACAUUGCAUAUCCCUUGCGCAUAUUUAAACCACCAAUUAAUGAUUGUGUGCGUAGCAUAAACUAGCCAUGACUCUGUGUGCUGGACUAGCAGGCACUCUAAGGGAGCCUAAUGUAGUGUACUGGAAUUCCUACAUGCCGCCUAUUAUUUUGUGUAAUGUACUGCCUCUGUUCCUAAAUAUAUGUCUAUGUAGAGAUUCCAGUAUGGACCACAUACAGAUGUAUAGCAUUUUUGAGUGUAGAUUCACUCAUUUUGCUUUGUAUGUAGCCUAUAGUGGAAUCUCUAGAAAGACUUAUAUUUAGGAACGGAUGUACGAGGUAGUAUCAUGUAUGACAUCUACAUAUCUAAUUUAGCAGCCAGUAGUAGAAAUCAUUGUCUACACAAAGGGAUUACUGGUCGAAAAUCCUAGCAAAGCACGCUGGCAGGCACAGAACAAUACAAGAGAGAGAGACAUGCUAUAUCAUCACAAUGCCUCGGUCCAGGAUCUUGGUUGGCCAAGCUGUUAGAUCCAGAAGAAACAUCGUCCUUGUAGUUUUUGCCAGCUGCAUAACAGGCAACAGCGACCUGUUAGUAUAUUUGAAGUACAUCGGGCAGGUGAUGCUGGACGGGUUUAAAGGUGACUAGUACGUAGGCCGUGGCGGGUGCUUGGCAUCUUGCCAGACAGUGGGAAUCAGUUUAGAAACGUUAAGGGUGAUGACGAUGCGCUGGCUGUUGGGGUCGGGUAAGGAGAUCUAGAACCGUCGAGUAGGGUGUUUCUGGAGCGGCUCCGGUAGGGUGGACUACGGUGUGGGCGAAGCGGAUCUGUGGCCGUGGAUGAGGGCGUAGGUGAAGUUGCUCCGAUUGUUGGGUUAAGGAUGGUGUCGACGAUGCGGAUCUGCGGCCAUGGACGGGGUGUCAGAAGGUGCUCCGGUAGGUUGGAUGAGGGUGCGAGGAAGCGGAUCUGAGGCCAUGGACUUGUGAGUUGGCAAAGCGGCUUCAGUAGGGUUGAAAAUGGUAUAGGCGAAGCUACUCCGGUGGGGUUGACAAUGUUGUCGGCGAAGCGGCCACGGUAGGGUUAAGGAAGGUGUCGGCGAAGAGGAUCAGAGGCCAUCGAUGGGGGCGUCGGUGGGGCGGCUCGGGGGUGGACGAUGCGUCUCCGAUAGGGAGUACGAAUGAGCCGCCGCAGAUGCGCUGCGGUUGACGAGAGUACCGGCGAAGCAGAUCUGGAGCCAUGGACAAGGCCGACACUGAAUGGGCUGUGGUACAGUGGUGGAUGAGCAGUCUACUUGUUUCUAGGGGAGGUGGGAGGGGUAGAUGCGGCCGCAGAAGAAGAUCCAGUGAGGUGGACGCCGCUGGCAGUGAAUGGGCUCUGGUACGCCGGUGGAUGAGCAGUCUAGGGUUUUGAGAGGGGAGGGGAGAAAGGCCGAUGAAGUACGGACGGCGUGAUGUGAGAUGCUCUGGUGCUGUGGAGUUAGUCGUUUUUAUGGGAGAGGGAGAGGAAAUGGGGGUGCCGUGUAGUGGGGGGGAACCGGAAGUUACCAAAGCAGGCUCGGCCUAUUAUGUAGAUGAGGGCGGUAUUGUAACUGUUGGUCUCCGUGCACCAAGGACAAAAGGUGAAUUUCGCAUGCUAAAGACUAAGGUGGCGGAAAUUUUAGGAGGCGGGAGAUUUUGCCGCCCGCGGGAUCGUUCGUAUCCAGUUUCAACUAAUUUUGGACCGUGCUAGCGGGAAGGUCAUGCGAGACUGUGUACACGGGGCACGUGUUAGCAGUUAAUAACUGGUGUGUCCACCCCAGAAAAAAGACAAUAACUCGGGAUGAUGCGCCGAUAACUUGGACGUUGGCAUGGGCGCGGCCAAUCGUACGGGUGUAGUGGCGCGUUCAUAAAAAAGGGAUCAAACGCUCAGCCUAUGUAUUUCUCGUGUAAAUAGAUAAUUUAGUGCAAUUGGUUAUUUACUUUAAACAUAAUGCAUUGACGUGUUAGUGUAGAGGCGCACAAAAAGAAAUGGAUAUUGUAGUCCGCUACUUAAAAGUGUUACCUCAUAUGAUUACAUAGCCUCCAUUACAUAAAUUGUGUACCCGUUGAAUUCAUAUAUGAAUAUUACAUAUAUUACUUCAUAAUAGAACCUUAAAUCAUCCAAGACUAAUGAUUUUGAAUGCAAGAGUAACAAUGGUGCAUGUACAUGAUAGCUACAUUGGUUGUUUGAAGAAACAUCACUGUAACUUUGGCAUGCACAACUGAAAAGGUUUAUUUAAAUAUAAAAAAUGUGAUAUGUGAGUGUCCAAUCUUUAUAGCGUUGAAUCGAUAUUGUACCUUUGGCCACGAUACAAAGUAGAUAUUGAUUUAUGUUCAAGCGAUGCACGUCCACGAUCGCUAGAUAGUGAUACGUGAAUGAAUUGUGCAAUCUCUCUCACACGCAUACAUAUCUCAUUUCCCUGUGGUCAUCGAAAUCACACACGCGCACUUUGUUAAUUUCUCUCCCUCCGUCAAGGUUAGAAUUCAUCUUUCUACACCGUCCUACAAGUCUCUCACACAGGAACACACACGCUCUCUCUGUCGAACACGCCCACCCCUUUAAUUCUGCCCACCCACAUCCACUAAUGUCUCAAAGUAUAAUAAUGUCUCUCACACAUAUGCCUAAGGUUAACUUGAGUUCCGGAACCAUAUGAAUACAUACAAUGGGAUUCCAACAGAGCACCUUUUUUUUGAGAUUUCUCUCUCUCUCUCUCUCUCUCUCUCUCUCUCCCACACAUUGUUUCUCGCUUCAUUUUUUCGGCACUUGCAUGCACACAAUUUUGUUUAUCUUCGUGAUGCUUUAAGUAUGCCACGCAUAAAUGCUAUCUACCUAUCCCUUAAUAUAGCUAGAUAUGUGUCACACAAACUCCUUCUCCCUACUAGCAAGAUGCCCAUGCGUUGCACCGAACAUCAAGAUGCAUUUGUACGAGUAGUUUAUCUUGUGGGAGAAAAGGAUGAACGAGGGAAUGCCUUAUUUGCAAACGCGGCGAGGGGUGUGGGUAUCUUUUUGCAAAAUUGCCACAGUUUCCUUCCUAUCCGUUGGGUAUAAAUAGGAUGGCCUAUAUUGCAGGAUGGCAGGAACACCAUCAUCACCAACUCUGUUUUUUAUAAGAGUAGGGAUAUGUAAGUGGCACUGCCCCCCCUCCGCCCCCCGACACACACACCCACACCCACACAACCACACACACACACACACUUCCCAACACCGAAGGAGUAGGGUGACAUCUCGAGCUUGAUACUAAUCUAUCGACUGGCUUCUCUCUCAAACACACACACACACACACGCACACACACUACUCGACACCGAAGGAGUAGGGCGCCACCUCGAUCUUGAUAGUAAUCUAUCCACUCCUCUUUCAAACAGACACACAUACACACACACUCACUUGUUGUGCCUCUGUGCCUGCCACGCACACUCUCGAUACGUCUUUCUCUCCCUCCCCCACCCCAACAAUGACAUCAGAAGGGUGACAACUCAAUCUGAUCGUAAUCUGUCAAUUGGUUUCUCUCUCGAACAUUGUGUCUCUGUGCCUCGCUCAGUAGCCCCCUCGAUAUGUAGACUUCUCGCGCGUGCACAGUUGUAGUGACGAUGACGCUCAACCUAGUGUGCCUCAUUUUUACCGGCCUCACAUGAUAGUUUUCACCCUGUUUUUUGUUAAUUAACAGGGCAACCUUUUCUUUGUUACUACUAGUCAAUCUGAAAUCAUUCGGGGCAGACAUAAAAUAUACCACUUCAACCCAAUUAUCGAAGUAACUAUUUUAAAAGAAACUAGCUAGAUGCCCGUGCAUUGCACGGAACAUCAAGAUGCAUUUGUAUGAGUAGUUUAUUUUGUGAGAGAAAAGGAUGAAUGAGGGAAGGCCGUAUUUGCGAAAGUGGAGAGGGGCGUGGGUAUAUUUUUGCAAAAUUGCCAUAGUUUUCUUCCUAUCCGUUAGAUAUAAAUACGAUGGCCUAUAUUGCAGGAUGCCACACACAUCAUCAUCACCAACUCUAUUUUCUACUCCCUCCGUUCCUAAAUAUUUGUCUUUUUAGAGAUUUCAACAAGUGACUACAUAUGGAGCAAAAUGAUUGAAUAUACACUCUAAAAUAUGUCUACAUACACAUCCGUAUGUGGUAGUCCAUUUGAAAUCUGAAAAAGACAAAUAUUUAGGAACGGAUGGAGUAUAAGAGUAGACAUGGAGAUAUAUCAGUAGCAUGGUCUACAACAAAAAUGUGCUGGACCGGUUAGCACCGGAUGCUCGCAACGCGAUGACAUGGGUUCGAAUUCUGUCUUUAACUUUAGAUUUUUAUAUUAUAUAUUACAUAUUUAAUAUAUACUUCUUUCGCUACUGUACUGACAGUGGAACCCAAAGAGUACUUAGAAUACAAGAUUAAGGAUGGACUUGUUUCUUUUUCACUUUCUGUACAAAGCUGUAGCUACCCUGCAAGUCACGUGUACACUGUACAUGCAAUUAACUUUUUAUAGAAUGACAAUCAUACACGCAACUAACUCAAAUGGAUUGGAUGUCACUCUAUUAUUUCCAGCAUAAGAGCAUCUCCAACGGUAGCCGAUAAAUUUCCUCCCAUUUCCUUCCGCGGAGGAUGACAUCAAACGCCAGCGGCAUACAUUUUCACAACUCUAACCAACUAGAUGAAAUUCGUGCAAACACAGACUGAUUUCAUAUAAGCACGAAGGAUUUCAUAUAAAAAAGCCGGAUCUUCAUAUAAACAUGAUGUAUUUCAUUACAUUUACAUGAACUAAGCGGUGCCAAUCCGGCUAUCUUGGUAUAAUUAAUAGUCCCUCCGUACGGAAAUACUUGUCCUAGAAAUGGAUGUAUGUAGACUUAUUUUAGUUAUAGAUACAUACAAUUUAUCCAUUUUUAGAACAAAAAUUUCCCGCCAGCUGGAGAGAGAGUACAUAAUCUAAAUGGCCGCCCGUGAAUCCCUUUGUCUUCCUCAUGUUCGGCAGACACUUUGCGGGGUCGAAGAAGGUCCUCGAAAGAGACGAAGAAGCAAAGAAACCACCUGAAUGCGCAGUCGUCGCCUCAGCGGUGGCCUUCAUGGGGCCCAAGUGGCGGCGGCCUCCCGUGUUCUACUUCUCCUCGAUGAUGGUGGCGGACAUGGAGAAGCUGGCCACCGAAUCGUCGCUGUCCAUGCACCCGGCUUCUGUCUCUGCCGCAGGCACGGGAGGUGCGCCCACAGACACGGAGACGCGGUACGACACGGCAGCGACGACGCCCGUACCGGUGUGCUCGCUGCCAUGCCGACGUGGAGCAACUCGCCACUCCUCAUCGAGCUGAACUGGAGCGGCGAGUUGCUGAACCAUGCGCCUGCUUGGGGCGGCAACUGGCUCCGUCGGGCCAAGCAAGGUUGGUGAAGCACCGAGCGGCCUCGCCCGUAUCCGGAGGGCUCGGCGGGCCACCCAGCCGGGUAAUAUGCCACAGAACGGCUCCUCAGAAGCCAUCGGAAGAGUGGAGAAAAUGGUGAAGGCGGAGAUGGGGGAGCGGCGGAGGGGUGCGAUUCUUGCCCGCUGUCUGUCUGGCCUCGGGUAAAUAGAGGGCGGAUGGUAGGAGCUUGGCCGGCGUCUGGCCUCAUUUAAAAUGAGGGCGGACGGGAGGAGCUCGGCCGGUGUUGCGUUUAAUUUCGGCCCGCUCAUGAACGGACGUGUGGCCGCAGUAGGUUUCUCGGUUCGCAUGCAGGUUUAAUGGAGGGGUUUGAUGGAGGCGAGGAGGCGUGUUCAGCCGGGCGUGCAGCGGGUGGCGCAGUACUAUUCGAUUUGACAGUGGGCAGUGCAGUUCCCGAUAUGACUUUAAUGCAGACGAGCGAGGGAGUAGAGGUUCCCGAAAUGUUGAACGGCCAAUGCAUCCUCCUUCAAUUAAUGCACGAGGGAAGUAAUGGGAGGUGGACCGGGAAAAGAGGCUGCACGAUGUGAAUGCAACGCAGUUUGCCCUCAUAUAAAGGCGCCCCUCCAUUCCGAUGCAUCUCCACAUCGUACGCACCUAAGCAUUUGCGUAAGCACCUACACUAAGCGCAAAAGAGCUGACUCCAGACCCAUGGCAGCGAUGUGCGCCAGCGGCCAGUGGCUGUGCCAGAUGGUCCAUGACGUCGGCCUGCGGCAUGACACCGAGGAUUGUCUUCGAACGGUGUUGGAGACCGACUGGUAGAUGGCUGCCGUCGACGCCAACUACAACUCUUAGUUGGACCAGAUGAUCUUUGCCACCACCAACAAGUUUACCAUCCUCAAGAAGCUUGCGAACGACAUCGCCGUACUCCUCCAGCUCGCGCGCCCGAGCUCCUCAUUGCCUGCCACCCUAAUCGGCCUCCAUGACCGUAACCUCUUUCAAGCACUAGUAACCCUGCGAAUGCCCGCCGACGCCAUGAAGAAUGUCCACCUGGAGGUCGCGCUCGCCGCGAGGCGCCUCGCCCUGCAAGAAUUCCUCGACCUACACAUCCACGUGUAUGAGCAAAUCAUGUACAUAGGUAUCUACAAGGCCAGUGAGGACGCUAUGAUGUUGGCCUUCCUCAAUCGGCUGGAGGCCUUGGAUGCCUUUGCUGAGAAGCACCUCGACCUCGCCACAAAAGCCGCCGCUCCUUAGCCGCCGGUCGGUGGCCCGGCGCACUAAGUUGAGGAGGAGGAGGUCGUACGUUGAUGGAUGCAUCUUUCUUCUUGCCUUCUGUAACCACCACUGCGAUCGCAUCAUCAUCGUGGCCUUAAUUCUUAUUGUGGUGUUGCAUUCUCGUUCCAGUCAAUACCGACAUGUGCGAUCCCUUUGCUUAAUUAUAUGCAUCACUGUAACUAGUACUCCAUCCGUCAAUUUAUAAGUUGUGCUUACCUUUUCCAUCAACUUCGUGCAACGCGCGUGCAUCUUGCUAGAAACACUAGAACAUGUCGGACCGCGUGUGACCAAACCGACGAUGCGCCAACCUAGCUACUACGUACCCUGCUUAUCUGGCAGAAAUAGCCCUGCCCUAGCGUUUCCAAUCGUUAUUUCUAUCUAUCGAUCGUGCCAAGGAGCAGAACCAAAAUUUUACAAUUUAUACAUGUUUCUCUACUCCUACUCCUAUAAAAGACUCAGUUGUUGAUGGUGGUGUGUCUGCCAUCUGUCGUUUCUGACCAUUAGAUCUGCAUCUAACGGCUGUGAGGUAAGUCGUGGCAUUUUUGCAACAAUAGCCCACUUCUCUGCUCCAAUUUGCAGAAAACCCCUUAUUAUCUUGAAAGCAACCACAUCCCUCCCUCACCUCAUCAAAACAGCCUAAGAAAUAUAUACUCCUAUAAAAGACUCAGUUGGUGAUGGUGGUGUGUCUGCCAUCCGUCGUUUCUGACCAUUAGAUCUGCAUCUAAUGGUUGUGAGGUAAGUUGUGGCAUUUUUGCAACAAUAGCCCACUUCCCUGCUCCAAUCUGUAGAAAACCCCUUAUUAACUUGAAAGCAACCACAUCCCUCCCUCACCUCAUCAAAACAGCCCGAGAAAUAUAUUUUGAGUGAAAGUACUCCCUCCAUUCCUAAAUAUUUGUCUUUCUAGAGAUUUCAAUAAGUGACUACAUACGGAGCAAAAUGAGUGAAUCUACACUUCAAAAUAUGUCUAUAUAAUCCGUAUGUGAUAGUCCAUUUGAAAUCUCUAAAAAGUCAAAUAUUUAGGAAAGGAGGGAGUAAUAUAUUAGGAGUAUAUCAAAACAAGAGUGAUUUCUUUCAAGUUUGUGAACAAGUACUACUAUUCUACUACUUUGGAUCCAUCGCAACGCAUGGGCACAUUGCUAGUAAAAGGAAAAGGCUUGCUGCGUUCGUGUCGCACUCCCCCCACACACGCCCGGGAAUCGGGACCAGUCCACGGUCCGUCCGGCACGACACAUAGCUUAGGGAAGACGUGUUGCCUAGCAUUUUCACUUUCAUGUGGGACCGUCGUUGAGCAAAUCGACUAUUGGCAAACCGCACCCCGCCCGCCGCCAGGUUGGAAAAUAGAAACGAGGGGAAGAUCUAGCUGUAGCACGGAAGCCAAGAAAUUUGGUGUCAGAUGGGGCUCGUUGAUAGAGUAGGAGCAUUCCGUACUACUCUGCUCCUACUAGUACCAAGUUUGUACUAUACAACUAGUACUACCACUAUACAACUAGUAGGUACGUGCACGACACAGUAUCGUAGGAACAAAAAAUGGGAAGAUCUUGUUUUGGGUGAUUUAUCUUUUUUUCUGUCAACAUAGUAUGAAUAAUAUGAUGUGGGGGGCACCCAUGAAGCUUAUGUGGUUUGGUUGCAUGGCUACGAAAGGUUAGAGAAAAAAAUAGAUAAUGUGUUUAGAGUGCACUCCACUAAACGGAUAUACUUUGGAUCCAUUGCAAUGGGCCGACACAUCUAUAUCUAUAGCCCCUAUAUAGUGUGUGAAUAACUUUGAAAGUUGGUCGUUGGAUGAAGCCAAUCCGACGGCACAAAGAUGGCAAAUCCGAGCACUACUGGCCAUUGGAUAUCAUCUACAUUCCACCAGAUUCUGCCACAUGUAGAAUCUAGAAGACUCCAUGGUUGAACUUCAUUCAUGACUAACUUUUCCACAAUUAAGCUUAGGCAAAGUGUGUCUGAAACAAAAAAAUGUGGCUAACAAAAUGGCCACCACAAGUGUGGCAAGAUUUGGCAAGAAGUUGAGUCUAUGACAUGUGGACCAUGUAGCUAGAAAAGUGUGGCAAGCUACAAGUGUAGCAAUGAACCAAACACAUGCUGGCACGCCUAAGCUUAGGCGUGGCAACCUUAGGCUACAAACCAAACCAUAACUUUGAAAGUUGGUCAUUGGAUGAAGCCAAUCCGAUGGUACAAAGAUGGAAAAUCCGAGCACCACUGGCCGUUGGAUAUCAUCUACAUUCCACCAGAUUUUGCCACAUGUAGAAUCUAGAAGACUCCACAUGUAGAAGCAUAAUGCACAAACCACCAGAAUCUCAUGCGUGUAAUGCACGUGUACCUUACUAGUAGUUGGUAGUAGUAAGAAAAAAAUUCCGGGUUUGGCACAAGCUCGUACUGCGGGAGCACGACAAGGCCUGCCGCAGGAGUUACAUUUCCCUCUCGGGGCCCACAGGACUGAAUUUCAAUGGCUUAGUGCCCGACCUAUGAGUCAAUGACAUGCAGACCUUAAAUGCGACUGGCCCACAUGUCAUUCUCAUGGUGGUGGUGUGGUUCGCGACUCACUCGUUCGAGAUGAACCAGCCGGUGGUGGCGUGGCCGUGGCGAGGGUGCCACAGCUGGGCGUCGGGGCAUUACGAGGCGUAGAUGGCCACACCGGCGGGUACUACCUGUAGUACAAAAGUACUCCAGCUGAGGAUUGAUGCCCGGGACGAAAUGUGUCACAGCUGCUGGAUGAAAAUUCGAUGGUGCGGGACGUGUGGUGUCAUGGGUUCGUAGGGCAUCGUGGGAAUCACGUGUGGCUGUGGUAGAAACUUGAUGCUCGCCGCAUUUAAGGUGGCCCACAUGUCAUGCACACAAAGGUAGAGGGGCGGUGAGGCCGAGAGGGGUGAGGCACACGUCGGGGGACGUGGUUCGUGGGUUGGAGCGGCGUCGUGGGAAUCUCGAGUGGCAGCAGAUGAAAUGUGAUGGUCACCGUAGUUGAACUUCCAUGGACAAGUUAUCAUGUCUACGGACACAUGCAUUGCAUACCGAUCACUAGAAGGAGUAGUAGAGAAAGCUAGGCGGAUAAAUAGUUCCUUAUAGCCAAGCGGACCCACGCUACUACUUGUUCCAAAGACAUGCACACCAUAUAAAUAGUCCAUCUAUAUCAAUAUACAUAGAGAGGGAAUAUUUUUUUACAAGAGAGGAAAUAGUUCAUCCAUCCAUAAUGCCCUUCUUCUUCUUCUUCUUCUUCUUCUUCUUCUUCUUCUUCUUCUUCUUCUUCUUCUUCUUCUUCUUCUUCUUCUUCUUCUUCUUCUUCUUCUUCUUCUUCUUCUUCUUCUUCUUCUUCUUCUUCUUCUUCUUCUUCUUCUUCUUCUUCUUCUUCUUCUUCUUCUUCUUCUUCUUCUUCUUCUUCUUCUUCUUCUUCUUCUUCUUCUUCUUCUUCUUCUUCUUCUUCUUCUUCUUCUUCUUCUUCUUCUUCUUCUUCUUCUUCUUCNNNNNNNNNNNNNNNNNNNNNNNNNNNNNNNNNNNNNNNNNNNNNNNNNNNNNNNNNNNNNNNNNNNNNNNNNNNNNNNNNNNNNNNNNNNNNNNNNNNNNNNNNNNNNNNNNNNNNNNNNNNNNNNNNNNNNNNNNNNNNNNNNNNNNNNNNNNNNNNNNNNNNNNNNNNNNNNNNNNNNNNNNNNNNNNNNNNNNNNNNNNNNNNNNNNNNNNNNNNNNNNNNNNNNNNNNNNNNNNNNNNNNNNNNNNNNNNNNNNNNNNNNNNNNNNNNNNNNNNNNNNNNNNCUUCUUCUCAUUUUCCAUGGGAGACGGCUUCGCAACAAGCUCUCUGGACCUUGCAGCUAUCUCGAAACUCACACGGUCAUCGAGGGCAGCAUAUUUUAUCCGCUUGUACGUCAAGGGAUAAUUCUCCCAUCCAGACGACCUUAAUGCCAGCGUCUCGUCACCCUUCUAAAGAUUUGUUCCUAGCACAAAAUUUGCUAUGUCGAAUAGGGAUGGUGUCGGUUUAUCACAAUCUUCUACAAGAAUUUUUAUUCUGGUUUUUAGGUUAGCGAUGCUUUUCAAAUCAAGGUUGUAUGGCUCCAACUUCUGUUUGUCCCCUGCGAUGGCUGCCCCACAGAAGUAUAUCUCCUCCCGAGACAAGAAAUCAUGAAGCUCACGUGGUAUGGAGGGCGCGUGUAUGAUGUGGUACACCAAAACAUCAUCUUCGAGGCACAACUGAAGGACAGCGGCGCGUUGGAUCUUCCCAGUGGCACGCUCCUUGUAAUCUAUGUCAAGACCGAUGACAUUCAUCUCCACCUUUUGGAGGGAGUUGGAUACAUUGUUGAUCCACUUUCGAACAACCCUUGGGUGGUCGAUGACUGUGGCAACUAUGCUCAACGAGCCUUCGACGAGGACAUGUUGGACGCUAAAAACCUGCAUCUCGAUCUCUUUUGCCAUUUGGUACCGCUGGACCGGAGGGCUAUGGUUUGGAGAAUUAGGAUUAGGUGGCUAAUCUAACCGAAGAAGAUGGGGGCUUCGGAAUUACUCCAGGAGGAUGUGAAGAGGUUAAAACAAUGUGAAUGCAGUGUGGUUUGGAUGCAAAUGAAGAUCAAGGAGUAGUGAAAAAGCCGAGGAAAAUCGGUUCCCGAUGGAGAAGUAAAUGGGAGAAGUUAUGCGCAUGUGUGAGUGAAAAUGGGAAUGGGCCGACCCGGCCCUGGCCCCGGCCCCGUGGCCCCAAGGUCAAUAUGUGAGGCCACGGGCCAGCCCAUUUCAUCAGAAUUUUGUGGCCCCAUUGACCCAUUGGGUACAUGAGGCCGACCCAGAAUUUAGCAAAUGUUUAGACAGCCCAGAGGAUUACAGGUUUUUUGAGCCAAAUGUUUGCACAGUCCAACAAUUGUGGCCUCGCCAAAUUACUAAUAAGUCCCCAAAAGAUUAGAUAUGUCAGCAAAUGUGUACACAAUACAGUAAAAUGAAAGGCCUAACCUUUUCACAUUUAGUAAAAUGGUGAGAUAAUGAGAUUACAUGUUUCAAGAGCAUCAAGCAAAAGACCUCAGUCCAACAGAUUCGAACAAGAUCAAAAGAUUACAAGUUCCAAAGAAUGUCAAGCUAAUGACCUCAAUCCAACAGACUCAGAUAAGAUCAAAAUAUUAUAGGUUCAACAUGCUAAACUUUUCACAUCCAGUAGGUUAUAGAGAAAGCUGACAUAUCUUUGCUUCACCAUCUGCUUCAGGUUCAACAUCAAUUGCUCCAACAAGCAUCAAUCCUCGAUAUUUGUAUUUACAAAGAAAUGUUACAAGAGUGAUUCUGUGCACAUCAACUAAAUAGUAUAUUUAUCCCUCAAAAAAACUAAAUAAUAUACUUAUGAACAGAGGAAUAUUCUUUGUAGGAAAGGCGUGUUCCAGAAAACCAAUUCAUGAUCAGGUUUGCAAGAAAAUACACUUCUAAAUAUCCAUUAUACACUACUCGUCAUCCACUCUGCAACAUAUUCUAAUCAAGUUACUUUAGUUAGCAAUGCAUAUUUUUAAUAUAGUUUGGCGAUGAAAAAAUGAAUCUGAACUACACAUUCAUAUUGGAGAGAAAAAAGAAAUAUAUAUUAGAGAUCAAGUAUAACUUGGGGAAACCAAAAACAAAAAGCACUAGUUCUGUGUGUAAAGCACUCUAUAUAUUCAUCUACAUGUUUGGGCUGCAUCUUGCAAAUAGUUCCCUGGAACAAACUGUAAAUAUGAAAUCCCUCAUUAAAAAGCAGACUUCAUACUUUAAGUGUACUUUCAUAUACAUGGCACUAUAUACAUCAGAAGGUUUCUCAUACCUUGUAAGUCCAUUAUAAUGUCAUGAACUGAAGCCAAGCUACGUUGAGUAUUAGCUGCAGAAAAAGAAGAAGAAACUAGUAAACUUGAAGCAUUAGCAAGAAACAAAGAAGAAACUUGUGUCGUAUGGCUUUACCGUUGGCCCUUAUCCAAUCUUGUAAGCAAACAAGAGCUUCAAGUGUCGUUGCGGUCAUUCGACUUCUAAAAUCUAAUAGGACUCUCUUCCCUGUGGUGAAGGCGGACUCGGAUGCCACCACAGAGGCAGGAGCCGCCAAGAUAUCUGCUGCCAUGUGACUCAGCAUUGGGUAUUCACCUGAGUUCGUCUGCCACCAUGCAAGGAUAUUGAAUUGAUCACUUCGACGGAUGGGUACCUUUGACAAGUACAAAUCAAGUUCGGUGGAAUCCAAAUUUGUUGAUCGAGCAGUGAGGGUGACAUGUUGGUCCCAAUCAGCCAUAGGAUCUUCACCACUUACAACCAUGUCAUCAUCACCUCCUUGUGACAUGUGAUCUAAUCCAUUGUCAUUCAAUUGGAGGUAUUCAUUGAACAACCCUUGGAACACAUUUUUUAUUUUAGCAAUUGAGGGAGUCCUGGAUUAGGGGGUCUCCGGACAACCGGACUAUAUCCUUUGGCCGGACUGUUAGACUAUGAAGAUACAAGAUUGAAGACUUCGUCUCGUGUCCGGAUGGGACUCUACUUGGCGUGGAAGACAAGCUAGGUAGUACGGAUAUGGAUAUCUCCUCCUUUGUAACCGACCUUGUGUAACCCUAGCCCUUUCCGGUGUCUAUAUAAACCGGAGGGUUUUAGUCCGUAGGACAACAUACAAUCAUACCAUAGGCUAGCUUCUAGGGUUUAGCCUCUCCGAUCUCGUGGUAGAUCAACUCUUGUAAUACUCAUAUCAUCAAGAAUAAAUCAAGCAGGACGUAGGGUUUUACCUCCAUCAAGAGGGCCUGAACCUGGGUAAAACAUCGUGUUCCCUGCCUCCUAUUACCAUCUGCCUUAGACGCACAGUUCGGGACCCCCUACCCGAGAUCCGCCGGUUUUGACACCGACAACAAUCAUUGCUGCAGCUUCGUUCCCAAACUCUAGGCCAAAUCAGAACUCAAUAUAUUUUAACUUGAAUUGUGGGUCCAAAAUCACUGGAAUACAAAGGCUCAACCAUGUCAUCUUCCAAUAUCUUCUGAAUUUUCUCUUCAUAUAUUUGACCGUUGUGCCCAUCUCAGAAUCCUCUUCAUAAUGUUGUUGCUCUAAGGUCAGCUUCACUUUCCACGUUUCCUGGAAAUACAAGUUAGCAGUUGGAUAUUUUGUGCCGGAAAUCACAUUAGUGGCUUCAUAAAAUACCUUCAGUAGCCUGCAAACAUAUUCAACAUUUUCCCAAUCCUCAAAAGAUGGCUUGAAGGUAUAUUGUUUAUCUUGAAUGGCCAAAGAGUCAAACACUCCGUGAUACUCUUUUGCUAUAUUAAUCAUCAUGUAGGUUGAGUUCCAGCGAGUUGGAACAUCAAGACUUGGAGUUCUCCCACAUGAUACACCAUGUUGCUCAACGAUUUCUUGAAAUUUUUCCUUUCGACUUGGUGAGUUUCGAAUGUAUUUCACAGUUUCACGUAUCAUGUUGAUCACUGGACCAAGGAAGUUCAAUCCUGCUUGACAUAUCAGAUUUAUGACAUGGGCGGCACAACGUUGGUGAAACAACUUGCCACCACCAGGUAACAUCUUCUUAAGCAGGAGAUGUGCCUUCAAUAGCUUCAUCAUUGCACCAUUAUUCGAUGCAUUGUCUAGCAUCAUAGCAAAGAGAUUAUCUUCAAUGUUCCACUCUCUUAUGAAAUUCACCAUGAUGUUGAACAUUGCAGCUCCUGUGUGCGGUGUCUCCAUAGCGGCAAAUUUAACUAUCCUCUUCUGCUGCUUCCACUCCUCAUCAAUGAAGUGAGCUGUGAUGCAAAUGUACCCCACUGUCUGAUUUGAUGUCCAUAGGUCCGUGGUCAAAGAAAUCUUGGAUUUGGAGUUUUGGAACAUCCUUUGCAGAAUUCUCUUCUCUUCCUUGAAUGCUUUCAUGCAGUCCUCCUUCAUUGUUUUUCUACAUAUCAUCUUGAAGCUGGGAUUUAGACUAGAGACAAAUCUUCUAAAUCCAUCAUACUCCACCAAUGAGAAUACCAAUUCACGCAACACUAUCAUCCUCAUCAGAUCUCGGCGUGCUAAUGCCUGAUUAAAGGUCCAAAGCCCCAUUGCAACUCCAUCAGGACUCGUGAUAGAAGCACUCAGUUGUCCAGAAACACUAAGAACCUUCUUCCUUUCCCUGCAUCUAUUCAAAUGUUUGCGCAAUGAACUUGUUCCAUGUUUACGCUCAGCACAAAUAUUCCUUGCACAGUGUUUGCACUCAGCAGCUACAACUAUGCCAUCAACACGGAUUGGCUCAUAUUCUUUCCACACUUUAGAUAAAAACUUUCUUCUCGGUUCAGAAAAUUUUCCCAUGUCAAUGAUCUCAACCUCUCCCUCUUCAUCCACAUUAUCUCCCUCUUGUUCUUCAUCAUCAUCAUCAUGUUCUUCUUCUUCUUCAUCAUCCUCAUUUUCUUCUCAUUCCUCUUCUUCUUCAUAGUCAACAUCUUCUUCAUCAGCCUCAUCUUCUUCAAAAUCAACCAUAUGAGUGUCUUGUGAACGUCCUGCUGAGCAAAGGACACAAGUUAACAUUACAAUUAUGAGUAUUUUUUAUUUUAGCAACCAUUAAUUUGCAUCCCUAGAAAAAGAAAGAUUAACAAUACUCACCAUGAUAAGCUCUACAAAUGUUUAUCAAAGAAGGAGACACCCCUGGGGGUGGUUGAGCCCUUCUCAUUGUCGCACCGGAUAUCAACGAUGAACCACCACUUUGGUAUGCCUCAUGGUCCCCUUGUUCCUCUUCCAUUUUUCUGACCAGAGGGAAAUAUAGGAACAUUAGAGAGCAUUAACUUUCAAAAGCAACAGCAGAUGUAAUACACAAAUUUCAUUUACUUGUACUAGUGCAGGACAACCAACAAAUUUUGUAUAUGAACUUAACAGAAUUUGGUUUGAGAAUCCAAACACUUAAUAGGAUUCGGGGGAAGAAAUUUACAAAGCACUGAUAAUAUCUGAACACACGCAUGAACAUACAUCGAUGGAGCCAUACACUACUAAACCGCCUCAUCAGCGAGAAAAUUCUGCGCAUUUAUUGAUCACAACUACACAAACAAACUGCUACGAAUUAGUUAUUAGAAGUCGUAACAUGUUCCAAAUUUGAUAAAUAGUACUAUCACAAACCAAUGCGGUCCAGGCAUGGUUUUUGUUCUACUUUGACAAGCAAAAUAAACAAAGGUACUACCAUGAUCCCCAAAUCUGUUGCUUACCCUGGGCAAAAUGAUCCACUAUAAAACAUUUCCAAUCAAAUAUGAUCUAGUUCUUCAUGUAAUUGUUCAUGUACACCGACUGAAUGACAGGGACCAACACUGUAGAACUACUACAGAACCAACACUGCAAGUAACAGAUCCCAUGGCUACAGAGUACACUGACUGAAAGUAGUAGAAUCAAUACUAAAACAAUUGCAGACAACACUGACCAAGAACCAAAACAAGACCGGUGCUUGCAUUGCAGCUGCGCUGGGACAGGGAGGAAGCCGGCAAGAGUCUCACCUGCGAGAUGAUGACGUUGAGGACGGCGACCGGAAUGGCGAGGUAGACGGUGGACGGGACCGCAGGUCAGCAAGCUCGACGGCGACCAAGACGACGAACGAGAGGCGGGAGGAACGCCAGUGGCAGCAGGCCAGCAAAGAUGUUCAGGGGCAGCCACCGGCGGCGGCAGGUCGACAGAGAAGGUCGGGGGCAGCCGGUAGAGAAGGUCGAGGGAGGCCGAGGGCGACAGAGAUGGCCGGCGGCGGCAAAAAUUGUCGGGAGCGGCCUACAGAGAUCAUGGGGGGCGGCGGCAGAGAUGGACUAGGGCAGCGCAAUCAGACGGCUGGGUCGACCCGUCUGGUCCAUCGGGUCACACGGUGCCAGCUCCGCUGACCCGUUUUAUGUUUCGAGGCCAACCCACCUGGCCCAUUGGCCCCGAGAUUUCGGGCCGGGUCAGUGACCCAGCGGGCCGACCCGACCCAUUCCCAUCUUGAUGCAUGAGGAGAGGUGCGGUGGUUUGACUGCUGCAUGCAAUGGAUUGGACGGGCUCUUCGGUUGCCUUUUCUCUCUCCCACGCGCACAGAGUGGCCCAGUUGCAUGCUGCAGUUUAUUGGCUGGAGUCGGGCUGCAGCUGCUCAUGCGUACACUAAUUAAUGCUGUGAAUGCGGGGCAUGGAAGGAAAUGGGCGCAUGCAAAAGGGUAUAUACGCAUACUAAUUAGAGAAAUACUAAAAAAAGUUAUGCACGGACAAAAGAGGACGGGAGGGAGUACUACUCAUGUUCCUACUACGGUUAAGGAAUAUGCAGUUAUCCUCAAAAAAGAAAAGUCCUUCUUCGCGCUUCCGCAUGCACGAGAAUUUGGUUCUGCUCGCAAUAUGGAUGAUAGCUGGAGGAUGAAGUGAACCCAGACGCAUGCUAGCACGGGAGUGUACUCAUGUUCCUACUACUACUACUACUACUACUACUACUACUACUACUACUACUACUACUACUACUACUACUACUACUACUACUACUACUACUACUACUACUACUACUACUACUACUACUACUACUACUACUACUACUACUACUACUACUACUACUACUACUACUACUACUACUACUACUGCUACUACUACUAGUAGUAGUAGUAGUAGUACAACUGUGGUACACUUGAUGGUCAAAAUACUAAUAUUCAUCUGGUCCUCACAGUGAAGUGACAAGACCCUGCGCCCACCAGUCUAGGCGGCGUGUACGGGUUACCAAAGUCAGCCUCACCUUGUGCACUAUGCAGUCACUAUCACCGCCGCUGUAUACCAUGCCUCGCCUCGUCUCCCUCUCCCCUAGCACCACUCCAUCUCCAUCUCCGUUUCGCCGGAGAUCCUGAGGUCACUCUUCAUUCUCUCAUUGUGCCCCCGCAUACCCUCGCUGUAACACCCCGGAUGUAACUUCCCAUAUUUGUAACUCCGACUCUGCCAUUUUCGGCUUUAAGUUAUGAGAUUCCCUUCAUGGUUGGGUUUUUGUCUUCGUUUUGCAUUUUGUUCAUGUCAUGCAUUUCAUAUCAUGUCAUCCUGUGCAUCACAUUGGCAUACGUGUUCGUCUCAUGCAUCCGAAGCUUUUUCCCAGUUGUCCGUUUUGCAAUCUGAUAGUCCUACAUGCACCGGCGCACCCCUCUUGUCUCUUUUCGUGAGCAGGUGUUAAACGUUCUCGGAAUGGAUCGAGAUUUGCCAAGUGGCCUUGGUACACCACCGGUAGACUGCCUGUCAAAUUUCGUUCCAUUUGGAGUCCGUUUGAUACUCCAACGGUUGACCGGGUAACCGCGAAGGCCUCGUGGGUGUUGCAGCCCAACACCCCUCCAAAACGGCGCAAUAACCCAUCUAAACCUCUUCCAUGUCCUCCGUCGUCGGAUCAUGAUCAUGUGGGCGAAAACUACACCUCGUUUGCACACUCCUACCUCCUCCUAGCUAUAAAUAUGUGACCCCCUCCGAAAAUUCAAGCGAAACCCUAGUCUCCUCCUUCCUCCGCGCGCCGGACAUGUCCGCCCGGCGCCGGACACGUCUGCCGCCGUCCCCUCGACGAAUCUCGCGCCGCCAUGUCAUCGCCCGCGCCGCCCCACUUCGCUGCCGGCCAACGGGGCCUAGAUCUGGCCCGCGCGAGCCCGCGCACCGCCGUCGCCUGGCUCGUCCUCCGCCACCAACCAUCGGCGAGCGCUGCCGCCCCGCUGACCGGACCCCGCCACCGCGCCCUGCGCCCGCAGCGCACCCCGCUGCCUCCUCUGCUCCCCAUCGCCGGCGAGCUUCUCCAGCCACCUCCUCUUCUCCGGCGACGCCCCCUCCUCGCCCGCAAGCUCCGGCCACCACGGUGACCUUCUCCGGCGAGCAAUCCCGGCCAUCCUCGAUAUUCGCACCAAACCCUAGAUCUGUAACCGAGAGGUUGUUUUUUCUCUAAGUCCCAAAUCCCUUAUAUUUUUAUGCCCCUGUUCAUCAUGCCAUAUCUCCGUGACCGUAGCUCCGUUUCAUGCGCACGAUAUAUCAAAAUGUUCAUUGUGAGAUGCCCUUCAUUUCAUUCCAUUGUGGCAUGCUUGUUUGAGUUCAUCUUGAUGAGAAAAGUAUUGAUGCAGGAGUGCUAUAAAAUGUUUACUGCUGCUACUUAUCAGAUUAUGAUGUUUUGUCAUUUUUGCCACAUUUGAUGUGUGCUUCAUAUGGGCGUGAUCUCUACAUAUGUUUUGAACUAUGCCAUGCCAUAUUUACAGAGGUGCUUGCCAUGUAUUUUUGUGAUCUUUUUGGUGACUAGCACAAGCAUGCAAAUUAGGCUUCGUGAUGUUGCUGAUUUCAGUGACUAAGGAUUUUGCUAACUCCUCAUCCUGCUGUUAUUUGGAUGCCAUGUAAACUUGAUGUUACAAUGAGAACCAUGCUUAUUUUGAGAUGCUUAAGUAAGUAGCUUUUGAACAUAUGGUUAUGCUCUAUCCAACCAUGCCCCUUUUUGCAAUUAUGGAGUGCCCUAGCAUGUCUUAAUCUUGCUCUACUUUUGCUAUAAAAUGUUCCUGGCAGAAUGGUAACAUGUUAAUCAAUUUUGCCAUGGUUGUUGCUAAUGAUCCAUGCAUGCUAUGAACUUGCUACUGCAAUGGUUAGCUUAAUGAACAUGUCAUCUUAAUGUUUCUAUGCUUGUUUUGUCAUGCAAUUCUUUGUGGUGAGUGAUUUGAGCUCGCAAAGUUGCCUUCAUAAUUCUGUUUAUGCCAUGCUCUAUUUUUCUGCCAAGUCUGAAACUGUUAAUAAAACUUGCUAUACAUGGGUGCCAUCAUAUCUUCUGUGCCUUUUUGGCUCAUGUUCAGUAAGGGACUUUUGUUCUAUGUAUUUAGUAGAAUCAUGACAUGCCUUUGUUUGCUAUGAUAUGUUCCUGUAGCAUGUUGUUUGCUUGCUCUAAACAUGGCUUCCUGAUGUUAUUUCUGGCAUGUUAGUAUUUUCACUAAGUCUGUGAAGCUGAUAUCUUUUGCACUUUUUCCAUGCUUGUUUGAACCUGCUCUUGUGUGAUUUAGCCUAGCUCAGUGUUCAUGUUUUGUCAAGCAUCUUGUGUACAUCACUGCCAUAUGCUUUGUUGCUAUGUUGGAGUGCAGUAGCUUAGUUUCUUGUUGCAUGCUAAGUAGCAUCGUGCUGUUAAUUACAGUUUUGCACCAUCCUUAUUUUGCUUGCCAUUUGCAAACCGUGCAUCCGUUUUCGGUGAUCUUUAUAUCGAUUUCAACCGAAAUUAUCUCAUCUUUCCAGCAGCACACUUGGAUUUCCAAGUUGAUGCCUUGAUCAUUCUUUCCCUUCCGGAGCACGCAUAUGCAUUGCAUAUCAUGUCUUGCAUAUCAUGCCAUGUUUUGCAUCAUGUGGCUUGUGCAUUGCAUCGUGAUUGAUUGUUGGUCCUUCUCUUGUUUUCUUGCUUUGGGUAGAGCCGAGAAACGAGUAUGUGAUCGAGGAACCUAUUGAGUACGCUAACGAGGAUCAAGCUUUCGACAACUCUGAGAACUUUGCAGGCAAGAUGACCAUACCCUCAAAAUCACUUCUAUCAUUGCUUGCUAGUUGUUCGCUCUAUUGCUAUGCCGUGCUACCUACCACUUGCUAUAUCAUGCGUCCCAUAUUGCCAUGUCAAGCCUCUAACCCACCUUUCCUAGCAAACCAUUGUUUGGCUAUGUUACCGCUUUUGCUCAGCCCCUCUUAUAGCGUUGCUAGUUGCAGGUGAAGAUGAAGCUUGUCCCAUGUUGGAACAUGGAUAUUGUUGGGAUAUCAUUAUUACAUCUUAUUUACUUUAAUGCAUCUAUAUACUUGGUAAAGGGUGGAAGGCUCGGCCUUAUGCCUGGUGUUUUGUUCCACUCUUCCUGCCUUAGUUUCCAUCAUAUCAGUGUUAUGUUCCUAGAUUUUGCGUUCCUUACACGGUUGGGUGUUAUGGGAACCCCUUGAUAGUUCGCUUUGAAUACAACUCCUCCAGCAAGGCCCAACCUUUGUUUUACCAUUUGCCUACCUACCACCAUAUACCUUUCCCUUGGGUUCUGCAGACUCAAGGGUCAUCUUUAUUUUAAACCCCCCUGGGCCAGUGCUCCUCUGAGUGUUGGACCGUAAUGGGCAGCCUGCGGGGCCACCUCGGGGCAACUCGAGGGUUGGUUUUACUCAUAGCUUGACCACCUCGGGGCAACGAGAUACGUGCGACUCCUAUCAGGAUUUUUUGGCACAUCGGGCGGCUUUGCUAGUCUUGUUUUACCAUUGUGGAAAUGUCUUGUAAACGGGAUUCCGAGACUGAUCGGGUCUUCUCGGGGGAAGGGAUAUCGUUCGUUGACCGUGAGAGCUUUUGAUGGGCUAAGUUGGGACACCCCUGCAGGGUUUUGAACUUUCGAAAGCCGUGCCCGCGGUUAUGUGGCAGAUGGGAAUUUGUUAAUAUCCGGUAGUAGAGAACUUGACACUUAACUUAAUUAAAAUGAAUCAACCGCGUGUGUAGCCGUGAUGGUCUCUUUUCGGCAGAGUCUAGGCAGAGAACACGGCCUUGUGUUAUGCUUGAGCGUAAGUAGCUUCAGGAUCACUUCUUGAAAACUUAUAACUUCUCGACCAUGCGUUGCUUCUCUUUCCAUGUCAUUGAUAAAGACGAUGAACCGUUAUGUACGAGUUCGUUGGUUUCAACAUAGCCCUACCCGUAGCGAGCCAGUGCUUCCAUCCUGAUUGUGCCGCCUGCGUGAAAUUUUUGUAUGCAAGUUCAGUGUGCUAUGAUGUUCUAUAUGAUUGUGUCAACUAUAUAUGUUUUUACUGAGCAUCAACAAUGCAUAUGGCUGAAAGAUGUAUUUACGAGCAUCGACCGAUGGGUCUCUCUCUCUCACACACACACGCACACACGCACAAGUGGGACCCGUUGAAUUAUUUCUUUGCUCGUGACAGCUUUUAAUUAGGUUCCACUGUAAUCUAACUUUUUUCUUAAGUUAUUAAUUGAGCUCAGUUACUUCAAAAAGUUGUACAGAAGCCUUGUUUGGGCCUUUCUGGCGUUGCUGAGUGUGGGCUGAGUAGCCAUGUUAGGUUGUACUGUACUACACAGGCCUUUUUUUUCAACAUCAGCAAUGCAACUGGGCCGACAGUUGUACACAAUAUCCGGGUCAACUUGUUAUUCUCUGCCCCGCUGGGCUGCAAACUUCCCUAAGAGAUAUGCAUUCGGCUUAACAAGAAAAUGAACUUUAAGAAAUAAUAAAUGGGAUAUAAUUAUAAUAACUGGGCAGUAACUAUUAAAAAAUGCACCAAACACGUAAUUAGUUUAAAAAAUAUAUUAUUUUCGGAAUUUGAAAAUUUUAAUUUCAUUACUUGUUGCGCGCACAAUAUUUCGUUGGAUUUUAACAUAAUACAACUUUAUUUUGAUAUUAUAUUUAAUCUGACUAGAAAUUUCGGAUAAAAAUAUUUCGGAUCCUAUAAAAAUGUGGGAUUUUUUUUGAAUUCUGUUUUGAGCGGUUGCUUGAAAUUAUUAAUCGUUGUCCUAGCUAGAAAAUGGGCUGUACUUUUAACAAACUGUAAAUGGGCUAUAGUAAAUUCCAUUAGAAUAAAAAAAUGGGUUGUACAUUCUUACAAAUCGCAAAUGGGCUAUAUGUUCUCUGCCACACACUUGUGGGCCUUCUAAGUUGACGCGUCACCUAAAAAAACUAAGUUGAUGCGUAUGCAAGGCUUUGUCAACAACACACGGUUCUGGCAGCUGUGGCCAUUGGAUGUCCAUCCAACGGAUGUCAUGCUUCUUCUUCAAUCUCGAAUAUUCUUGCUUCAGCCGCCCAAAAAAUGAUUCCUCCCCCUGACAUCUAGGGCGCACCGUUUCGGAGGGUGACCCGUGGGCCUACUAAGUUGACGCGUACCAAGGGCUUUGUCAACUUAGUCAAUAUAAACGAUUCUAGCUGCAGUGACCGUACGAUGUCUAUCCAACAGCCGUAGUGCUUCUUCAACCUCUGGUCUUCUUGCUCCAGCCGCCCAAAGGAGCGCCGGUCGUGCCGCGUGCUCCUGCCUCCCAUGGCCGGCUGUGAUGCCGCGGAGGCCUCACCGCCCCUACUACUCCCACCGCUGGCCAGGCCAUUCCUCUACUCACCCACACCCCCUGUUAUUCCGCGGCGACGACAGCCUCACACCGCAGCCGAACCAGUGAACCCUCGUACUCCUCUCCGCGCGGGCUUCCACUGCCGCGUCUUCCCCGGCUCCGCAUCGUCCCCUUCCUAGGCCUCGCCGUCGUCCACCGCCCUGGUCAACGUGGUCAAGGAACGGCUUCCAUCGGACAUGGACUAUACGUGGAGAUGCUGACAGCUGGGUCGACGACGGCAGCAAGGAAGUGCCUCCUUAUUACGCGGAAAAUAAUGAUUCCUCCACCUGACAGCAGGGACCCACCGGACGGGCCGUCGUAUUUCACGAAAAAAUGUUUCCCCCCUGUCUGUUGGGACCCACCAGACGGGCCACCGUAUUGCGCGAAAAAACGUCCCCCCCCCCCGCUGUCAGCUCGGACCCACCGGAAGUGCCUCCUUAUUACGCACAAAAAAUGAAUACUCACCCUGCUGGUUGGGACCCACCUUGGUGGGAGGCUAGCUUGUGGGCCUACUAAGUUGACGGGGACAGAGUGCAUUUUCAACUUAGUCAAUAUGAACAAUUCUAGCUCCAGUGACCGUACGAUGUCCAUCCAACGACCGUAGUACUUCUUCAACCUCUGGUCUUGUUGCUCCAGCCGCCCAAAGUAGCGCCGGUCGUGCCGCAUGCUCCUGCCUCCCAUGGCCGCCUAUGCUGCCAUGGAGGCCUCACCGCCCCCUACUAUUCCCACCGUUGGCCAGGCCAUCCCUCUACUCACCCACACCUCCUUUAUUCUGCGGCGAUGACAACCUCACACCGCAGCGAACCAGUGAAACCUCGUACUCCUCUAUGCAUGGGCACCCACUGCCGCAUCUUCCCCGGCUCCGCGCCGUCCCCUUCCUAGGCCUCGCCGUCGUCCACCGCCCUGGUGCUCUCGGCACGACGUGGUCAACAUGGUCAAGGAACGACUUCCAUAGGACGUGGACUGUACGUGGAGAGGCUGACAGCUGGGUCCACGGCCGCAGCAAGGAAGUGCCUCCUUAUUACGCGCGAAAUAAUUAUUCCUCCACCUGACAGCGGGGACCCACCGGGCGGGCCACCGUAUUUCGUGAAAAAAACGUUCCCCCCUGACUGCUGGAACCCACUGAUGAGGACAUCAAUACAAUUGUUACACCCACAGCCCCUGCUACUAUACAUACUGGACCAAUUACUAGAGGUCGCGCACGCCAAUUGAAUUAUCAGGUACUUUCGUUUCUUGGUAACGAUUCUAAUGUUCAUGAGAAUAUGAUGCUACCUAAAUUCGAUACAUUUGUCUUGCUUAGAAAUGAAGGGCCUAGCUUGGACAAGAAAGAUGAACCUUGGAACAAGUUCAAGUGUGGAGAUGAUGGCAUGCGCAAGAGGGUCCAGAACGGAGUUACAAGUGAUGAUUUCAGGACUUUGAAGCCACCAUAAGGAGUGCAUGAAGCCUUGGACGAAAUAUACAAGAUGCCACUUCAUAAAUUUCGUCCAGAGGCUAUUUUAGGUGCUGCGUCACCUUAUUAUUGGGCCAGGCCCAUGUAUUUUCGAAAUACUUAAGUAUAGGUUGUUUUUAGAGUCCGUAUGUGUGGGGAAACAAGAGUUAGGGUUGGUUUUGGACCCCUCUUCCAAGGGCCACGAAAUUCCCCCCUCUUCCUCCAUAUAUACAGCCCUUAGGGCGUCGUUUAGACUUUGGGUUUUGUUUAGAUUAAAAGUUCGCCAUAGCUGCAACUUCGCGUACUUCGUUUGUGUCCAACGACCAGACUAAGACGUCACAGAACCCCACCUUGAUCAAUAAAGCUUUCAUCUUAUAUUCGCAAUAUCCAGAUUGCAAUCUUAGUUUCUUGCUUGUUAUUCGUUUGCUCGCAGGAAACAGGCCCUCGUGGUCAGGUUGAUCUUGCUCAUGCGUGGUCAAUAACCCCUCGGAGUUGGUUUAGCGAUUGCUAAGGCGUGACGUCCUCGCACGUUCGUAGUCGGAUCGUCAAAGUUGACUUCCUCUAAAACAAUAGCCACCAUCUCAUUGAAAGACGGGACACCUUUGCCUCUAUCAAGUGGUAUCAGAUUUUCAGGUUGCUCGGUGAGAUUUUCCAGUUUUCAUAGUUUAGAUCGAGUCUGUUCUUUAUACCAACAGUCCACGAAAAAAGGCAACAAAAAAAUUAGGGUUAGUUCAUCAUAUCUGAGCCUUUGCAUAGUCUUUUUAGAGUUUUGCUUUGUUGAAUUUGCGGUGGCAUCGUCGUGUCGAGUUGCUGGUCUUAGCGUCUAGUCCCUUAGAGUUUCGAGUUCUAUUCACAGGUUGUCACGCCGCCGCCGCACCAUCGUCAUCAUCAUUGCCAUAUACCACCACCCCACCAUAUACAUCGCCGCUGCCAUAUACAAUCACCAAUCCGAGUCCAGAUAUACCAUCGCCAUAUACAACCACCAGUCCGAGUUCCACCAAAUUCAUCGCCGCCACCAGUCCGAGUUCCACCAGAUUCAUCUCCGCUACCAGUCCUAGUCUGAGUCCAGUAUUUGUUGCUUUGUUUUUGAGUUCCAGAUCACGCGAUACUUCGAGUCGUGACAGAUUAGGACUCCUGAGAUUCCGUGCUACCCGCAGAAGAAAAAUAGUUCCAAACUCAAAAAAAAACUAAGUCCGGAAAAUUCUGGCUAGGCAGUUUUUAGACCAUUUGUAGACUUUUUCGAAAAAAAAUUGUUGCGGAGCAAAAAAAAGAGGAAAAAAAGUGCAAAAAAAAUUCAGAGAGUGCUCCUCCCUUGUUUACGUGUCGCGCCGUGAUUUUGUUCGUGUUCUAGGCUCGCGUCUCUAGUAUAGUCUAGCCUAGGACCAGCACAGUACUGUCGUUGAGCGUUUAUUCAACUUUGCAUCUCUGAAUUGAUUAUUGCUGACCCUUUUUGCUACCAUAUUAUAAGCCUUCCCGGCUCCACAUACAUCUACGUCAUGCGUUUGACUCUCCCUGGUAAUCGCUCUAUCCAAGCUUUGAGAGUUUUGACUAUGACGGUUGCCGAUCACCGCCUGCUGCUAGGUAAGAACUGGUAAGAAUUUGAAAUUUGCUUGACGGAUUUUUGACAUCCACCACCACCUCUUGUUAGUAGUCUGUAGGAUCAUAUUCUUGUGCGUUUCUAUUGCUGCUAACCAUGGCAAGAUCACAAGCCGACGAGACUGACUGGGAGAACAUGACGAAUAAGGAGUUGCAUGAUAAAUUUCAGCAAAUGAUGAGUGGACAGGUGCAAGAUAUGCUAAACAGAUUUGAAGAGGCCAUGGAGAAGAUAGAUGGCAUGGAGAAGACUUUCGAAAUAGAGCUCGAUAACAAGUUUAAUGAAUUGCUCGCACGUCUUCCACCACCACCACCGGCUGCCCCUACAACAACAACAACAACAACAACAACAACAACAACAACAACAACAACAACAACAACAACACCACCACCAACAACAACGUCGCUUUCCAAAUCAAGUGGGACGAGCACAACGCGUUCCCAUUGACCCUGGGCAAAAUUCUGGUGCCGCUGUUGAUGCUUCGGCCGCUCCUGCUGCUACUGCAGACGUGGAGGACCAUUACGAGGAUGAGGUUGACCAAAAUCAGAACUACGUGCAACCACCAGCACCACCACCACCAGGUCGUCCUCAUGCAGAUCAUCGCAACGGUAGGGCUGCACCACUACUUGAGGUACAUGACCAUCUUCCUAUACUAAAAUUGAAUAUUUCACAAUUUGAGGGUAGAUAUGUUCCUGAUAUAUAUCUUACUUGGGAGUUAGAAACUGAACAACGAUUUACAUGUUUACAAUAUCCUGAGGAGAGACGUGUUCCUGCUGCUGUUUGUGCUUUCACUAGCAUUUCAUGUGUUUGGUGGUCUGAACAUUGUAGAUUAUAUCAUAUUCCAACUACUUGGGCUGCUUUGAAAACUGCUAUGCAUACUCGUUGGGUUCCACCAUAUUAUCAACGUGAAUUACUUCAAAAAUUGCAGCGUUUAAGACAAGAAAAAAAUUCUGUAGAAGAAUAUUAUCAGGAAUUACAAACUGGCAUGAUUAGAUGUGGUAUUGUUGAGGAGAAUGAAGCUAUGCUUGCAUGUUUUACGGGUGGAUUGAAUAGAGAGAUUCAGACCAUUCUAGAGUAUAAGGAGUAUACUAAUAUCACUCGUUUAUUCCAUCUUGCUUGUAAAGCUAAACGUGAAGUGCAGGAUCGACAGGCAUUGGCGCGAACUAACUUUUCUGCAGGUCGAUCUUCAUCAUGGACACCACGUGCAUCCUCUACUUCCACUCCACCAGCACCUCCAUCGGGUGCCACCUCCAGUCGUGAUACAAGAAAGCAGGCACAACAACCACUAUCUGCCAAGAGCACACUUGCCGGACCUGCGAAGAGCUCUUCCUUGUCCAUGGCAUCAACAGGGCACACAAGUGAUAUUAUUUGUCGUCGUUGUAAGGGAAGAGGAUAUUUUGCGAGAGAAUGCGAAUCUCAGCGUGUGAUGAUUGCUACUGAGGAUGGUGGGUAUGAGUCCGCUAGUGACUAUGAUGAGGAGACUUUGGCUCUUAUUACACGUGAAGAACAUGAUGGAGAUGAUUCUGAUCAUGAGACGCAAUACAUGGCUCCUGAAGAUGCUGACAGGUAUGAAUGUUUAGUUUCUCAACGUGUUUUGAGUGUGCAGGUCACACAAGCUGAGCAAAAUCAAAGGCAUAAUUUGUUCCAUACAAAGGGAGUUGUGAAGGAACGUUCUGUUCGCGUCAUCAUAGAUGGAGGGAGCUGCAAUAACUUGGCUAGCAUGGAGAUGGUGGAGAAGCUAUCUCUCACCACAAGACCACAUCCACAUCCUUACUAAUCCAAUGGUUCAACAACAAUGGCAAGGUUAAGGUAACACGUACUAUUCGUGUGCAUUUUAGUAUCUCUACAUAUGCUGAUUAUGUUGAUUGUGAUGUGGUACCUAUGCAAGCAUGUUCCUUAUUACUUGGCAGACCAUGGCAAUUUGAUAAAAAUUCUGUACACCAUGGUAGAAACAAUUAGUAUACGCUUGUUCAUACGGAUAAAAAUAUUACUUUGCUUCCUAUGACUCCUGAUUCCAUUUUGAAAGAUGAUACUAAUAGAGCUAAUAAACCAAAACAGGAGAAAAAUAAAAGUGAAACUCAGAUUGUGGCAAAAGAAUUUGAGCAACAAAUGAAGCCUCAUAAUAAACCAUCUAGUGUUGCUUCUGAAAUUAAAUUGAAAAGUGCAUGUUUAAUUGCCACCAAAAUCUGAUAUUGAUGAUUUAGAUUUUAGCAAAUCUGUUUGCUAUGCUUUUGUGUGCAAAGAGGCAUUAUUUUCAUUCGAGGACGUGCCUUCCUCUUUGCCUCCUGCUGUCACUAACAUUUUGCAGGAGUUCGCUGACGUCUUUCCACAAGACGUGCCACCGGGAUUACCACCUAUUCGAGGGAUUGAGCAUGAAAUUGACUUAAUUCCCGGUGCAACAUUACCCAACCGUGCACCAUACCAUACCAAUCCAGAGGAGAUGAAGGAGAUUAUGCGUCAAGUACAAGAACUGCUCGACAAAGGUUAUAUACGCGAAUCCCUUAGUCCUUGUGCUGUUCCUAUCAUUUUAGUGCCGAAAAAGGAUGGUACGUCACGUAUGUGCGUUGAUUGUAGAGGCAUUAAUAAUAUUACUAUUCAUUAUCGUCAUCCUAUUCCUAGGCUAGAUGAUAUGCUUGAUGAAUUGAGUGGCUCUACAAUAUUCUCCAAAGUUGAUUUGCGUAGUGGAUACCAUCAAAUUCAUAUGAAAUUGGAAGAUGAAUGGAAAACAACAUUUAAAACUAAGUUUGGAUUAUAUGAGUGGUUAGUCAUGUCUUUUGGGUUAACUAAUGCACCUAGUACUUUCAUGAGGUUAAUGAACGAAGUUUUACGUGCUUUAUCGGACGAUUUGUGGUAGUUUACUUUGAUGACAUAUUGAUUUAUAGCAAACCUUUGGAGGAACAUUUGGAACAUUUACGUGAUGUUUUUAUUGCUCUACGUGAUGCACGUUUGUUUGGUAACCUCGGAAAGUGCACCUUUUGCACCGACCGAGUAUCUUUUCUUGGCUAUGUAGUUACUCCACAGGUAAUUGAAGUUGAUAAAGCCAAGAUUGAAGCUACUGAGAGUUGGCCGCAGCCCAAAACGGUCACACAAGUGAGGAGUUUCCUUGGCCUUGCUGGUUUCUAUAGGCGUUUUGUGAGAGAUUUCAGCACCAUUGCUACACCUCUCAACGAGCUUACAAAGAAGGAUGUGCCUUUUGUUUGGGGUUCCGCACAGGAAGAAGCCUUCAUGGUAUUGAAAGAUAAGUUGACACAUGCUCCUUUACUCCAACUUCCUAAUUUUAAUAAGACUUUUGAGCUUGAAUGUGAUGCUAGUGGAAUUGGAUUAGGAGGUGUGUUAUUACAAUAUGGCAAACCUAUUGCAUAUUUUCUGAAAAAUUGAGUGGGCCUAGUCUGAACUAUUCUACUUAUGACAAAGAAUUAUAUGCUCUUGUUCGGACCUUAGAAACAUGGCAGCAUUAUUUAUGGCCCAAGGAAUUUGUUAUACAUUCUGAUCAUGAAUCUUUGGAACACACUAAAAGUCAAGUAAAACUAAACCGUAGACAUGCUAAAUGGGUUGAAUUCAUUGAGACUUUUCCUUAUGUCAUUAAACACAAGAAGGGUAAGGAAAAUGUUAUUGCUGAUGCAUUGUCUCGUCGUUAUACUAUGCUUUCACAACUUGACUUUAAAAUAUUUUGUUUGGAGACUAUCAAAGAUCAAUAUGUGCAUGAUGCUGAAUUUAAAGAUGUAUUGCAUAAUUGUAAGGAAGGGAGAACUUGGAACAAGUUCGUUCUUAACGAUGGAUUUGUGUUUCGUGCUAACAAGCUUUGCAUUCCAGCUAGCUCUGUUCGUCUUUUGUUGUUGCAGGAGGCGCAUGGAGGAGGAUUAAUGGGACACUUUGGCGUCAAGAAGACGGAGGAUAUACUUGCUACACAUUUCUUUUGGCCAAAGAUGAGACGGGAUGUUGAGCGUUUUGUUGCUCGCUGCACUACAUGUCAAAAAGCUAAGUCACGACUCAAUCCUCAUGGUUUAUAUAUGCCUUUGCCUGUACCUAGUGUUCCUUGGGAGGAUAUAUCUAUGGACUUUGUUUUAGGUUUACCUCGAACAAAUAAGGGGAGGGAUAGCAUAUUUGUUGUCGUGGAUAGGUUCUCGAAAAUGGCACACUUUAUACCAUGUCAUAAAAGCGACAAUGUUGUUAAUGUUGCUGAUUUGUUCUUUCGUGAAAUUAUUCGCUUGCAUGGUGUGCCAAAUACUAUUGUUUCAGAUCGUGAUACUAAAUUUCUUAGCCACUUUUGGAGAUGUUUAUGGGCUAAGUUGGGGACUAAACUGCUUUUUCGUACUACUUGUCACCCCCAAACUGAUGGACAAACUGAAGUAGUCAAUAGAACAUUGUCUACUAUGCUUAGGGCUGUUUUGAAGAAUAACAAGAAAAUGUGGGAAGAAUGCUUGCCUCAUAUUGAAUUUGCUUAUAAUCACUCAUUGCAUUCUACUACUAAGAUGUGCCCUUUUGAAAUUGUGUAUGGUUUCCUACCUCGUGCACCUAUUGAUUUGUUGCCUCUUCCAUCUUCGGAGAAGGUUAAUUUUGAUGCUAAAGAACAUGCUGAAUUGAUUUUAAAAAUGCAUGAGUUAACUAAGGAAAACAUUGAGCGUAUGAAUUCUAAAUAUAAACUUGCUGGAGAUAAGGGUAGAAAACAUGUUGUAUUUGCACCUGGAGAUCUUGUUUGGUUACAUUUGCGUAAGGAUAGAUUUCCUAAUUUGUGCAAAUCAAAGCUAAUGCCACGUGCUGAUGGUCCUUCUCAGGUGUUAGAGAAAAUAAAUGAUAAUGCAUAUAAACUUGAGCUGCCUGCAGAUUUUGGGGUUAGUCCCACUUUUAACAUUGCAGAAUUGCAGCCUUAAUUGGGUGAGGAUGAUGAACUUUCGUCGAGGAUGACUUCAUUUCAGGAAGGGGGUGAUGAUGAGGACACCAAUACCAUUGUUACACCCGCAGCCCCUGCUGCUAUACAUACUGGACCACUUAAUAGAGCUCGCGCACGCCAAUUGAAUUAUCAGGUACUUUUGUUUCUUGGUAACGAUUCUAAUGUUCAUGAGAAUCUGAUGCUGCCUAAAUUGGAUACAUUUGUCUUGCUUACAAAUGAAGGGCCUAGCUUGGACAAGAAAGAUGAACCUUGGAACAAGUUCAAGCGUGGAGAUGAUGGCAUGCACAAGGGGAUCCAGAAUGGAGUUACAGGUGAUGAUUUCAGGACUUUGAAGCCACCAUAAGGAGUGCAUGAAGCCUUGGACGAAAUAUACAAGAUGCCACUUCAUAAAUUUUGUCCAAAGGCUAUUUUAGGUGCUACAUCACCUUAUUAUUGGACCAGGCCCAUGUAUUUUCGAAAUACUUAAGUAUGGGCUGUUUUUAGAGUCCGUAUGUGUGGCGAAACAAGAGUUAGGGUUGGUUUCGGACCCCUCUUCCAAGGGCCACGAAAUUCCCCCCUCUUCCUCCAUAUAUACAGCCCUUAGGGCAUCGUUUAGACUUUGGGUUUUGUUUAGAUUAAAAGUUCGCCAUAGCUGCAACUUCACGUACUUCGUUUGCAUCCAACGACCAGACCAAGACGUCACAAAACCCCACCUUGAUCAAUAAAGCUUUCAUCUUAUAUUCGCAAUAUCCAGAUUGCAAUCUCAGUUUCUUGCUUGUUCUUCGUUUGCUUGCAGGAAACAGACCCUCGUGGUCAAGUUGAUCAUGCUCCGGCGUGGUCAAUAACCCCUCGGAGUUGGUUUAGCGAUUGCUAAGGCGCGACGUCCUUGCACGUUCGUAGUCGGAUCAUCAAAGUCGACUUCCUCUAAAAUGAUAGCCACCACCUCAUCGAAAGACGGGACACCUUUGCCUCUAUCACCCACCAGCUACAUCUUUGCACGCAAGGAAGUGCGUCCGGGCAAAAAAAAACGAUUCGCCCCCCUGACUGCUGGGACCCACCAGCUAAAUCUUCGCAUGCAAGGAAGUGUCUGACAGUCGGGACCCACCUGGUCGAAGUGUACGUAGCAUUGUCAUUCUAGUCGCGGUUGUGUAUGUACAUACUGGUCGAUGUAGAGGCACACACGUGUCGUAGUAGAGGCGCGCACGUAGCAUGUACACAUACGUACAGCGGCCAGGGUGCAAGAAAGUAAAUACAGCCACGGACGUACAUAUGGGCGGGGUCUCGAACGCCUACUCGCGCGUACGUACGGCCAGGGCUCGUGUACAUGGCUGGGCCAGAACGGAGAAACAACAUCGUCGUCGUGUUCAUGGGGAGCCAACCGGCUGGGUCGGAACAGAAUGCGUCGUCGUGUUCAUCAGGAGGGCUUGGACAGAACAACCGAUGGAAACGAGGCCUGGUGUACCGCAGAACGGAGGAAACGGCCAUGUGUUCGACCGGCCAUGUUCGAAACGGGAUCCUGUUCAUCAGGAGGGGUCUGGCGUACCGCAAAACGGAGGAAACGGACCUUCUACGAUCGAAACGGGGGUCUUGUUCAUCGGGAGGGGUGUGGCGUACCGCAAAACGGAGGAAACAGACUUGUGUUGGAGCGCUACGGUCGAAACGGGGGUCCUGUUCAUCGGGAGGGGUUUGGCGUACCGCAAAACGGGACUCCACGGGAUACUGUUCAUUUCCACCGUCGACCCCCUCCAGCCUCCACGGGCUACUGUCCAUCCACCAUCGACCUCCUCCAGCCUCCACCUGCGACUAUUCAUCCACUGGCUCCUGUUCAUCCAGCCUCCACCGCGCGCUACUCCACCGGCUACUGUUCAACCAGCCCUCUCCAUGGGCUCCUGUUCAACCACCCCUCCAUGGGGUGGUCCUGUUCAUCCAGCCCUCCACCGUCUAUUGUUCAUCCUGCCCUCCACGGGGUGGUCCCGUUCAUCCUGCCCUCCACGGGAUCCUGUUCAGCCAGCCCCAACUGGCUCGAUUGAUCAGGGUCCUGUUCAUCCAGAGGCAAGACCACGGGGCCCUGUUCAUCCACCCCCACCGGGAACUGUUCAUCCAAACCCCCCAGUAACGCUCACUGUUCAUCCAGAGGCAGCAUCGAUCGGAUUCAGUUGGCAGCAGUAGCGAAGGAAUCGCUCGACCGGGUUCAGUUAACAGCCAUCGAUCGGUCGCCCGGGUUCAGUAACGCAUAGCCUGCAGUGCAAUCGCUCGGGUUCAGUUAGAGCCCAACGCCUCGCACCCACGCGCGUGCGUGUACGAGAGAAACGCGCAUCGCUCGGCCCCAACCACCCACCGUAACCGGGAACACCCCGAUAUUUUCCUCGCCCUCACUUCUACCAAGGUUUUUUCUGUCAUGGACGGCCCAAAGAAUGUCAUGCAGCUGCGUCUCCGGCCCGCCCAGGACGAAAAGCCCAUUUUCUGUCAUGAUUUUUUAUCAUAGAAGUAGGACCCCACCACAUCUAUGAUGAUACCAGGUUUUGUCACAAUUAUCGUCAUAGAAGUGUCAUAGGUAUGACAGAAAAGAAUUUCAUUCGGCCAAAAAUGUCACGGAUGUGUCUUUUUUUGUAGUGAUAUUGCGAAUAUAAGAGGAAAGCUUUAUUGAUCAAGGUGGGGUUCUUUGGCGCCUUUGUCUGGUCAUUGAACACAAAUGAAGUACGCUAAGUUGCUGCUAUGGCGAACUUUUAAUCUAAACAAAACCCAAAGUCUAAACGACUCCCUAAGGGCUAUAUAUAUGGAUGAAGAGGGGGGAAUUUCGUGGCCCUUGGAGGAGGGGUCCGAAAUCAACCCUAACUCUUGUUUCCCCAUACAUACGGACUCUAAAAACAGCCUAUACUUAAGUAUUUUGAAAAUACAUGCGCCUGGCCCAAUAAUAAGGUGACACAUCACCUAGAACAACCUCUAGACGAAAUUUAUGAUGUGGCAUCUUGUAUAUUUCGUCCAAGGCUUCAUGCACUCCUUAUGGUGGCUUCAAAGUCCUGAUAUCAUCACUUGUAACUCCGUUCUUGAUCCCCUUGCGCAUGCCAUCAUCUCCAUGCUUGGUCUUGCUCCAGUGUUCAUCCCUCUUAUCCAUGCCAGGGCCUUCAUUUGUAAGCAAAAUAAAUGUAUCCAAUUUAGGCAGCAUCAUGUUCUCAUGAACAUUCGAAUCAUUACCAAGAAACGAAAGUACCUGAUAAUUUAAUUGGCGUGCGUGAGCUCUAGUAAUUGGUCCAGUAUGUAUAGUAGCAGGGGCUGUGGGUGUAACAAUGAUAUGGAUGUCCUCAUCAUCCUCCCCUUCUUAAAAUGAAGUCGUCCUCGACGGAAGCUCAUCUUCCUCACCCAAAUAAGGCUUCAAAUCUGCAAUGUUAAAAGUGGGACUAACCCCGAAAUCUGCAGGCAACUCAAGUUUAUAUGCAUUAUCAUUUAUUUUCUCGAACACCUUAAAAGGACCAUCAGCACGUGGCAUUAGCUUUGAUUUGCACAAAUUAGGAAAUCUAUCCUUACGCAAAUGUAACCAAACAAGAUCUCCAGGUGCAAACACAACAUGUUUUCUACCCUUAUCUCCAACAAGUUUAUAUUUAGCAUUCAUACGCUCAAUGUUUUCCUUAGUUAACUCAUGCAUUUUAAAAUCAAUUCAACACGUUCUUUAGCAUCAAAAUUAACCUUCUCCGAAGAUGGAAGAGGCAACAAAUCAAUAGGUGCACGAGGUAGGAAACCAUACACAAUUUCAAAAGGGCACAUCUUAGUAGUGGAAUGCAAUGAACGAUUAUAAGCAAAUUCAAUAUGAGGCAAGCAUUCUUCCCACAUGCAAGCAUUCUUCCCACAUUUUCUUAUUAUUCUUCAAAACAUCCCUAAGCAUAAUAGACAAUGUUCUAUUCACUACUCUAGUUUGUCCAUCAGUUUGGGGGUGACAAGUAGUACUAAAAAGCAGUUUAGUCCCCUACUUAGCCCAUAAACAUCUCCAAAAGUGGCUAAGAAAUUUAGUAUCAUGAUCUUAAACAAUAGUAUUUGGCACACCAUGCAAGCAAAUAAUUUCACGAAAGAACAAAUCAGCAACAUUAACGGCAUCAUCGCUUUUAUGACAUGGUAUACAGUGUGCCAUUUUCGAAAAUCUAUCCACGACAACAAAUAUGCUAUCCCACCCCUUGUUUGUUCGAGGUAAACCUAAAAAAAUGUCCAUAGAUAUAUCCUCCCAAGGAACACUAGGUACAGGCAAAGGCUUAUAUAAACCAUGAGGAUUGAGUCGUGACUUAGCUUUUUCACAUGUAGUGCAGCGAGCAACAAAACGCUCAACAUCCCGUCUCAUCUUUGGCCAAAAGAAAUGUGUAGCAAGUAUAUCCUCCGUCUUCCUGACGCCAAAGUGUCCCAUUAAUCCUCCUCCAUCCGCCUCCUGCAACAACAAAAGACGAACGGAGCUAGCUGUAAUGCAUAGCUUGUUAGCACGAAACACAAAUCCAUCGUUAAGAACGAAUUUGUUCCAAGUUCUCCCUUCCUUACAAUUCUGCAAUACAUCUUUAAAUUCAGCAUCAUGCACAUAUUGAUCUGUGAUGGUCUCCAAACCAAAUAUUUUAAAGUCAAGUUGUGAAAGCAUAAUGAUGCGAAGCAUCCCACGUUCAUCCCCAUGUACACUCCGAAUACUCUCUAGGCUCCAAGGAUACAUUAGAUGAUACCUCGACUAUACACCAUUGGACACAAGGUGAACUCGCUCCUCUCCGAACUUUCACUCUCUACAUGUGAGACAUGGCUACUACCUCCAACAUGUGUGCUAUGCAUGAUUAGGAAAGCCACAGAGCCACCACAUCCAAUGGACGAGCUAGCGAGGACGCCAAGUACAAGGACCAAGAGAGGAAGCUCCAGCCACCGGACGACCGAUCAGGACCGGACGUCCGAUGCCUGAAGACCCACCGGACGACCGGCCCGGACAGGACGACCGGCGAUCCCGCACCCGAUACUAAAUGAGCGGACGUCCGACAAGUCCCGGACGUCCGGCACACUCCAGCGUCCGGAUGUCCGACCGUCCCCGGAAAUCCGGUGCCACCUCAACCGAGCCAAAACGCCAGACGUCCGACAAGUACCGGACGACCGGACCCUCGCGAGCCACCGAACGUUCGGUACCUGUCGGACGACCGGCGCCUUUGCGCUGCCAUGUGUUGGGCCGUAGCCCAUGUACCCCCCCCACUUCGCGCCCCUUUUGCACUAAGACUAUAAAUAGACCUCCUAUUCAGCCUAGCUAGGGUUAGCAUUGGUUUAGCUCAUUUGAGAGAUAGAGCAUUGCUCAUCCACAUCGGAUCUACUCCUCGAGAGAGACCGCGGCCUCUUCGGAGAAGAUCCCUUUGGAUUCAAGACCUCCUCGCGAAGAAGAACAUCAAGACCACCUCACGGAGAAGACCGGCUACCCUUGUAUCGUCCCUAGUUGAUCGUCUACCGUGUGAACUCUUGUGUAUCCGAGGAUCUAGCACAUGUGUGACUAUCUUGUGUUGGUUUAGUGAUUCUCCCGUGCUUUCCCUUGUGUUUCCCCUUGUUUCUGCCUUGUGUUCUUUGUGUUCAUCGCGGGAUCCGCUCCUUUCGUGAAAGAUCGGCCGAUUAGGGCUCUACCCUACAUCACAUAGUACAACGAUGAGACAAUGCAUCAGUAAUAACAUUUUCUUUACCCUUCUUGUAUUUAAUGACAUAAGGGAAAGUCUCAAUGAAUUCAACCCAUUUAGCAUGUCUACGGUUCAGUUUUGCUUGACUUUUAAUGUGUUUCAACGAUUCAUGAUCAGAAUGUAAAACAAAUUCCUUGGGCCAUAAAUAAUGUUGCCAUGUUUCUAAGGUCCGAGCAAGAGCAUAUAAUUCUUUAUCAUAAGUAGAAUAGUUCAGACUAGGCCCACUCAAUUUUUUAGAAAAGUAUGCAAUAGGUUUGCCAUCUUGUAAUAAAACACCUUCUAAUCCAAUUCCACUAGCAUCACAGUCAAGCUCAAAAUUCUUAUUAAAAUUAGGAAGUUGGAGUGAAGGAGCAUGUGUCAACUUAUCUUUCAAUAGCGUGAAGGAUUCUUCCUGUGCGGUACCCCAAACAAAAGGCACAUCCUUCUUUGUAAGCUCGUUGAGAGGUGAAGCAAUGGUGCUGAAAUCUCUCACAAAACGACUAUGCAAACCAGCGAGGCCAAGGAAACUCCUCACUUGUGUGACCUUUUUGGGCUGUGGCCAACUCUCAAUAGCUUCAAUCUUGGCUUUAUCAACUUCAAUUCCCUGUGGAGUAACAACAUAGCCAAGAGAAGAUACUCGGUCGGUGCAAAAGGUGCACUUUCGAAGGUAACCAAACAAACAUGCAUCACAUAGAGCAGUAAAAACAGCACGUAAAUGUUCCAAAUGUUCCUCCAAAGAUUUACUAUAAAUCAUUAUAUCAUCAAAAUAGACUACCACAAAUCGUCCAAUGAAAGCACGUAAAACUUCAUUCAUUAACCUCAUGAAAGUACUAGGUGCAUUAGUUAACCCAAAAGGCAUGACAAACCACUCAUAUAAACCAAACUUAGUUUUAAAAGUAGUUUUCCAUUCAUCGCCCAAUUUCAUAUGAAUUUGAUGGUAUCCACUACGCAAAUCAACUUUGGGGAAUAUUGUAGAGCCACUCAAUUCAUCAAGAAUGUUAUCUAGCCUAGGAAUAUGAUGACGGUAACGAAUACUAAUAUUAUUAAUGCCUCUACAAUCAACACACAUACGCGAUGUACCAUCCUUUUUCGGCACUAGAAUAAUAGGAACAACAAAAGGACUAAGGGAUUCGCGAAUAUAACCUUUGUCGAGUAGCUCCUGGACUUGACGCAUAAUGACCAUCGUCUCCUCUGGAUAGGUACGGUAUGGUGCACGGUUGGGUAGCGAAGCACCGGGAAUUAAGUCAAUCUAAUGCUCAAUCCCUCGAAUAGGUGGUAAUCCUGAUGGCACGUCUUGUGGAAAGACGCCAGCGAACUCCUGCAAAAUGUUAGUAACAACAGGAGGCAAAGAUGAAGGCAUGUCCUCGAAUGAAAAUAAUGCCUCUCUGCACACAAAAUCAUAGCAAACAGAUUUGCUGAAAUCUAGAUCAUCAAUAUCAGAUUUGGUGGCAAGUAAACAUGCACUUUUCAAUUUAAUUUCAGAAGCAACAGUAGAUGGUUUAUUAUUAGGCUUCAUGUGUUGCUCAAAUUCUUUUGCCACAAUCUGAUUUUCACUCUUGUUUUUCUCCUGUUUUGCUUUAUUAGCUCUAUUAAUACCAUCUUUCAAAAUGGAAUCAGGAGUCAUAGGAAGCAAAGUAAUAUUUUUAUCCUUAUGAACAAGAGUAUAUUGAUUGUUUCUACCAUGGUGUACAGA